rnacentral:lncRNA from 1 species
AAAGAAAAACCUAAAAUCAUAGGUUGGGAGAUCUAAAACCUUCCACCUAAACCGCUGAAUAGGUGAGAUGAGGAGAGAAGGACAGACGCCAUUGUCGGUUUGGAAGAUAAAGAAAAGUAAGAGAUAUGAGAAAACAAAAAAAGAAAAAAGAGAGAAAGAGAGUUGAAUAAUGUGGCUGUGAGGGAGAGGAAGGAUUUUACUGAGAUAGAAGAGAAUAGAGAAAAAUUUAAAAUAAAUAAUAGGUCCCACCAUCCUCAAAUUAAAGUGGUACAACCACAUUCGAUUUGGUCAUGAAAAAUCAUUUAUAGGUAUAGAUUACUAUGAUCAGCGAGGCACAUAGAUUUUGCUCCAAAUGAGCCCAACGAGUCAUUAUUGCUAGUGGACCGGGUCGUUACAUUUAGUAUCAGAGUCUGAUAACCAGCCGGAAGUAUGAGAUAGAUCUCACACCACCUGGUGAAUCUGGGACAAUGUAUAUGAUUGGGUCGGGCUGACGAUGAUGUCAGAGUCUAAACGAUGGAAGUAUGUGAUAUCCUAAUAGUCCUACAUCGGAUAACGUAGAAAAGUCUGAUGGUUUUAUAAGUAACGAACACACUAGUAAUAAUGAUUGGGCUUAAGCAUUUUGAGUCAGUGGUUUGGGCUCAAUGAGUUAUUAUUGCUAGUAGGUUGGGUCAUUACAUUUGGUAUCAAAGGCUGAUAAUUAGCCGGAAGUGUGAGAUAGAUCUCACAUCGCCCGGUAUUGGGUUGGACUGACGAGGACGUCAGGACCUAAACGAAUGGAGUAUGUAACAUCCCAAUAGUCCCACAUCGAAUAAUGUGGCAGAGUCUAAUGGAUUUAUAAGUGACGAAUACACUAGUAAUAAUAACUGGGCUUAAGCAUUGGGUCGGUGGUUUUGUUGUUGGUUGUGGAAAAAUAAGAAGAAGAAGAAGAAGAGAGAGAUAGUGAAGGAAGAAUAGUAAGGAAAAGGAAUGAAAAGGGACAGAAAAUAAGGAUUAUAUAGAGGAAAGGGAAAGAGAGGGCGAUCAGUGGUGGAGAGAGGGAGGCAUCCUCUCCUUGGACAACACAUAAAAAAAAAGAGAUAAUGAGUGGAAGAGCAUAGGUGAAAUUUUUUUGUUCAGUUUGGUCGGUUGAUUAGACUUUACUUUCGGUCCACUUGGCUGAUUUGAGCUCAAUGCAAAUAUAGUGGUCAAAUUUGAUAGUGUCUGAAAUUAGCCUUAAUUGGUUCCUAAGUUCAAAACAAACAAUUUGAUAUAAGAAUUUCAAUUCGAAAUGUAAAAUUAAAAUUUACGAUGAAUCAGAAAGUUACAUAAAUAAUUUAUUUUACUAUAAAAAAAUAACUAACAUUUGACCAUAUUCCUUUUGUACCAAUUAUUAUAUGUCGCUGGAGCAAAUCAAAGAUAUAUUUUGGAUAAAAUAGUCUUGUAUUUUGAGAUUGGGUAUUAUAACUCGUGCAUUUUAAGAAAUUACAUCUUUUUCAUUCUACUAAAUUAAAUAUCCUACAGUUGAGGGGGUUCUGCAUAUUUCUACAACCUUAUAUCUUUAAGCAAUACUACGGAUACACCCAAAAGUGGGUUGUAUAUCUUACACCCACUCUAUCCCAAAACUAUUAAUAUUCUACUUAUCACAUUAACUUUUUUAUUUUUAUUAAAAAUUAUUUGAAUUUUUUCAACCCUAGGAUAGGAGGUCCUACAUUUGAUGAAACCACUAAUAAAUUUGAGAAAAUCCAUAAGUUUUUCGGCGUCUCAAUGAAAAGAAUAAAAAUUGAGGGGUCUAUUUCAAAAGAGAAAAGCUUAGGAUACUCUAUUUUUGGACAAUCCAUUAAAUUAUUGAUAUAUUGGCAUAUAAAUGUGGAUGGAUUAAAAAUUUAGGAUUUAGAGUAUAAUAGUGGUAUUUAAAGUUUAAUAAUGGCGUUUGAGGUUUAGUAAUUAAUAUUUAAAGUAUAUAAUAAUAAACGUGUUACCUGUAACAGCACUCGUUUCAAAAUUAUCUAUUGCUCAGGGGGUCUUCAUACAUUUUUUUCGCCCCAUCCCAUUUCUGAUUUCUCNAUUUAAAGUAUAUAAUAAUAAACGUGUUACCUGUAACAGCACUCGUUUCAAAAUUAUCUAUUGCUCAGGGGGUCUUCAUACAUUUUUUUCGCCCCCCCCCCUCUCUCUCUCUCUCUCUCUCUCUCUCUCUCUCUCUCUCUCCUCAUCAUCUCUCUUUCUUUCUCCUCCCAUCAACAAUGGCGAGGCGAAUCCAUUCCUCCUCUUCCUCUUCUUCAUCUUCCUUCUUCAGAGAUCUCCGAGCUCGAGAACUCGGCGCCUCGAAAGGUACACAAUCUCUUCUCCCUCAUCUUCCUUUCACCCUCCGCCGCCUCGAUCCAUCGCUCGUAACGAUCUCCCCGAUCCUCUAAUCUCCAGCUCCGAACCUCGCUGAUCUCUCCUCCGACCUUGGCGGCCGCGGCCGCGGAGUCCUCGCGGUCGAGCACUUCGGGGGCUCCACCCCUCCCCUCGCCAUCUCCUCCUCCAAGGUUUUACUUCACCCUUCUUGUUGUUGAAUUUGUUUGUUUUCAAUUUUUAUUUUUUGGCGCAAAAAUCCUUCCUUUUGAUGCUUUGUUUGUUGGUAAUUGUAAAGAGUAUCGCAAGUUGUCGCCUCCUCGCUGUUUCCGAUGAGGAUGGAUUCGUAAGCGUUUACGACACCCACCGGAAUCUCCCGUCGUGCGCCUCUUCUCUGGAGAAAUCAGGUCGGUCGAAGGAGUUCGAAUUAGGGUUUGCUUUGCUGUGAUUUGAUUUUGGGGGACGGGAAUGAAUUUUGGCAUAUUUAAUUUGGGGUUUUUUGCCCUGUUCAGCUGAAGCUAGGGUUUGUGACUGGGUUGCUCACAACAAUGCUAUUUUUGAUGUGUGUUGGAUAAAGGUACUCCUUUUCCUUUCAAUUUAUUAUUCUUUAUUUUCCUCCCAUAUAGAUUUCUACAAUUUAUCUCUCUUCUAUUUUAAUUUGUUUAAUUUCUUCAGGAUGAUGCACAAAUUCUAACUGCUUCAGGUGAUCAAACCGUAAGUGUUGCAAAUAGCUUUUAAGUACACUCUUACUCUGUUGAAAAAUGUUGAAGCUGCAGCUUUUUUUUAAAAAACAUCUAUUUAAUCAUGUAGUGUUGCUAAUUUUAUGGGAAUUAAUAAAUUGCUACAUUGUCAGAUUAAGAUAUGGGAUGCAGAAAAUAGGAAAUGCCUCGGAAUCUUGGUAGGGCACACAGGCAGUGUAAAAUCACUCUGCUCACAUUCGUCGAAUGCAGGUAAUGUUUCCGUUUGGUCCGAACUGUUUCAUUGGUUUAAUUUCAUUUAGUUUGGUUUCUAGGUAGUUGUUUGACACUCACAACUAUUGCUUCUGCUCGGAUCAGAUCUCGUUGUUUCGGGCUCAAGAGAUGGAUCUAUUGCUCUUUGGGAUCUGAGGUGCAUGUCCAAUUCGACAAACAGCCGAGGAGGAGCGCGCUUCUCGUAUGUCUCUAAUUCUUCGCUAUUUAAUGUUUUCAUAUCAAUAAGCACUUUUUGAGUAUUGAAACUGGUGGAGAAUUGUGAGGUUCGGUUGAUUAUAAAUGUUUGCCGUAAUUCAGAUCUGCUGCCGUUGUCAAAGAAGCACAUAGUCUUAUGCAAGGAAAGCGAGCUAGGCGAGGAAAGGUUUGUAAAUUGAAAGAAAAUUGUAGUUCCUGGAAUUGUAAUUUUUUUAUAUAAAAAAAAGAUGGAACUCUAUGCUCUUUGAAAAUAUCGUAGUUGACGCAACCAAUUCUUGUAGGCUGCUUCGAUGAGUAUCACAUCAGUUCUUUAUCUCAAAGAUGAUGUCUCCAUUGCCAGUGCUGGAGCAGUGGACAGGUUAGGAAGAAACCCUGCUGUUAUAUUAAUCGCCCUCAUACGUUGUAGAUCCUCAUGGCUAUUUUGUAGAUAUGAUUAAUUAACUCUCCUCUCACAUCAGAAUGCAUUUUCUGGGUAAGGUUAGUGCAUUUCAUCUAAUGGUUUCCUGUCACUCAUGGUAGUGUUCUGAAGUUCUGGGAUUCUCGGAACCUAAGAUCAGCAGUUUCUCAAACAAGCGUUGAGCCACAAAAUGGAAAGGUACGUACAAUCUGUUCGAAUAAAGGAUAUCGUCAAUAUUUCAUGAACUGAAUUAGUAUGAAAGUGAAAUAAAUCCAAAAUUGUUAGUUUUAUAGAUAAACCACACAAUCUGUUUGGCCCAAGUAAUGCCAAUAUAACUGAAGCUUGCCUUGCAUGUGCUUCUAAUCUGAGAACGUUGUAUGCAUCCAACUAAUUAGCUUCUGGUCUUUUUGCCUCUCUCUUCUGUACCUAAAGGAAAGAGUGCAACAUGGAAUAUCAUGCCUAUCUCAAGAUUCGAAUGGCGCAUAUAUUGCUGCUUCGUGCAUGGAUAAUAGGUAGCAAUAACAUCUAUUCGGUCACUAUGUUCAGCAUCUUAAACUAUGUGUUUUCGCAAUAAUAAACAAAUACAUCAUUGCCUCCAAAUAUGUUAGGAUUUACUUGUAUGAUGUAAUUCACCUCCACAAAGGUCCAAUGAAGGUCUUCUCCGGAAGCAGAAUCGAGUCUUUCUUUGUGAAGGUGAGGAGGCGAAGAGUUUGUUCACCAUUCUUUGCAUAAUUCAAUGUGCUCCCUUUGUACUGGAAUCUCUCUUGUCAAUCAAAUGAUGUGCAUACUUUGUUGACUCAUUUAUGUAAUACGGAUAUAUGAUAAUAUAACCUUUGUUUGUAUCAUUGUAGUCGGCAAUUAGCCCUGACAGAACUCACAUUCUUGGUGGUUCUAGUGAUGGCAAUGCAUAUAUUUGGCAGGUAUUUAUUUCUCUCCUCCUAGGACUUAAUCCAGUUCUGUAUCAUUUUGCACAUCAAGAAGAUUUGUCAUUGCAGGUAGAGAAACCUGAAGAAGAUCCUGUAAUUUUGACAGGCCACGAGGGGGAAGUUACGGCAGUUGAUUGGUAAAAAGCUGAACCUACCCUAUUUCUGCUAACCAUGAACUGCUGUAGCUCUUGCUAAUGCCUUUCCUCGCAUUCAUCAGGUUUACAUCAGAGGUUGGGAAGAUAGCGACUUGUUCUGAUGAUCUCACAGUUAGUUUCUCCAGCUAAUUUAGAGCUUAUUUUUCAGUCUUAGUUCAUUGGCGAUUUGCGCAUUCAAAUGCUUAAUGCCUCGAAGCUCAUUUAUAUCUGAAUGCCACUUACUCAAUAUCAGGCAUAAUAGAACACGCAUAUUAAACAUCAACAAAUACAUUAAAAAUCACAUUAUCAUUACAGUGGUAACUCUGGAUUCUUACAGGUCCGAGUUUGGAAUAUCGGCGAAAGGAAUUACAAGGAUGCAAAUUCUCCAACAGCAGUCAGAAAGAGGGUAACAGCACCCAACAUUGAAGGCAGGAGGCUUGUUAUAGAUGAACAGGCAGCAUGUUCAACAGAUAACCCCUCUUCACCUCAUAGACAUAAUGCAUUUGAGUUCAGUACCCCCGAAUCUGCGAAGAAGAGAAAUUUCGGUUCCCUCCUAAGCGAAGGACUAGAGAUGCAGAAGAGCCCAGAAGCUGAAUUAAGCAGCCCUUCAUCUGUUCUGAACCCUCCUCCCUCUCUGAAGAGGAGAACGAUUUGCGAUUACUUUGUCACUGCCUCUGAAAGUUGAAUCAUCUGAUCUUGGUCAUCUUCUUCUCUAUGUAUCGCAUAAAAUUUCAAUGACUCAAGCCCGUCGAGCGCAUUACCUGCAAUUUUUGUGUGCUAAUAGGUAAGUUGGUUGCUUAUAUCAUGAUCUUGUUUUUUCGAAGUCCAUCUCAUGCACAAUUUUUGCUCUCUUACAGGUAGAAGAUAUCCAGCUCCUGUUGUCUCAACCAACUUAAAUGGUUUUUUUUUGGUCUUGGUGGAUCUUCUCUCUCUUUGGACUGCUCAAUUUUACAACAACUAUUCUUUUGCUCAUACCUACCAUGCCUAAAAUGUUCAUCUCUUUUCCAGCUAUGUAGCAGUUGUACAGGAAAAUUUGAAAAUUAAUUGGAGAUAAUAACAUGCAACAAUUGAUUCUGUGCCUCAGUACAUACUCGUGGUUGCUGCUAAGUUGAGAAUUGAGAUUAACUUGAUUUUCUUUCUAAGGUACAUUUAUCCAAGGCCCUUUUGAUAUAUACUUCUUUUUGGUAUUUGAAGAGUAUCAAUUCAUGGGCUAUUUAUAUACAUCUAUAUAGUAAUCAUACUAGGCUAGCAAUAACAUGUUUUCUAAGGUCACUUAUAUUUUCAUAAGGUCAAUCCAUCAAGUGAAGGGAAAAUUGUUAAAAGUAUUUUACUAGUCAUGUGUCAAAUGUUCCAGCAAAACUAUUUCCAUGUUGUACGUUUGCAUUGUUUAAAUAAGAAAAAUUCCUGUAUAGACGCUAGUGUAACAUUUCCAAAUUCUGAAAAGAGUUCUACUUUAGUUUUUAUAUAUAUGUAUGUAUAUGUAGUUAUUGGAGGAUAAAUUAUGGCCGACACUUUGGUACAUCUUUCUAUAUAUGAGGAUGCAUUUAUUGAUUAUUUUUUUUAAUCGCAUAUUUUUAAUCUUAGCAUCCAUUAAGUUAUAAUAUUUUCUCUCUAUAAAAUUCGUAUUUUUAAAUUGAAAGUAUAAGAUGAACGAAGAAAAGAUAAGUUCUCGGCAUACAAAUAAACAUAUGAACUAGCCAUAAGUAUAAUUUUUAAUUCAAGCUAAGGGCUACAAAUUUUUAAAAAAGUUUAAAAGCAAAAAUCUGACACAUCUUAGACGAGUCAACAUUUCUCUUUUAAAAAAAAAUGCUAUUUAUUGUAUACAUCAUUCAAUCCAAGAAUAGAGAAAUCUCUCUUAAGUUUGAGUAGAGAAAAAAAAAAAAAUCAAGAAGAUAAGUGAGAUAAUGUGAAUAAAAGAAUUAAAAAAAAAGGGCUAAAAUGUUAAAAUUUACAACUGUAGUGUACUAAAAAGAAGGGUAUUCCUGCACCCAGCCACCCACAGCGAGGAAUUCUACACUGUCAUACUUAUAUCAUAUCAUCAAUAACAAACCAAUUAUAUUCAUUCUUUUCAAACAAAAGUACAAUAAAAAUAUUUUUUUACAAUCAUGAUGAGACAUAUAUUUUAAAAAAAAUUAAUUUAAUUGAUUUAUUAGGCCACGUCACUAAUAUACCUGUUGCAUUCUAGAAUUUUUUCCCACAGCACACGUACGACACGACAAAUCACGACGGUAGAGCGGCAAAGCUCAGGAGAGCCGUCCGAUCCCCGCACGCGCCAACCUGUAUCCCAUGCAACCCACCAUCCCCACCACGUGUCUCCCUCCCCCCCACACGUGUCACCCCUCUCCCGCUCUCCCUCCCUUCUUAAAUAAACAACUCCCCCUUCGACACCCCUCCUCCUCCUCUCCAUCCCCAUCCCCAUCCCCAUCCCCAUCUCUUCCACUCCACUCCACUCCACUCCACUCCUUUUCCCGCCAUGGGCGACCGCGGAGACCAACGCCUCGCGGCGCAGCAGCAUCAGCAGCAGCGGCCGGGGGAGGCGAUGAAGGGGCUGCUGCAGCUGCCGCUGCCGGAGAAGGCGCCGUCGGCGUCGCAGGCGCUGACGGUGGUGACGCUGUUCCCGGCGGGNAAUCCAUCAAGUGAAGGGAAAAUUGUUAAAAGUAUUUUACUAGUCAUGUGUCAAAUGUUCCAGCAAAACUAUUUCCAUGUUGUACGUUUGCAUUGUUUUAAUAAGAAAAAUUCCUGUAUAGACGCUAGUGUAACAUUUCUAAAUUCUGAAAAGAGUUCUACUUUAGUUUUUAUAUAUAUGUAUGUAUAUGUAGUUAUUAGAGGAUAAAUUAUGGCCGACACUUUGGUACAUCUUUCUAUAUAUGAGGAUGCAUUUAUUGAUUAUUUUUUUUAAUCGCAUAUUUUUAAUCUUAGCAUCCAUUAAGUUAUAAUAUUUUCUCUCUAUAAAAUUCGUAUUUUUAAAUUGAAAGUAUAAGAUGAACGAAGAAAAGAUAAGUUCUCGGCAUACAAAUAAACAUAUGAACUAGCCAUAAGUAAUAGUUUUAAUUCAAGCUAAGGGCUACAAUUUUUAAAAAAAGCUUAAAAGCAAAAAUCUGACACAUCUUAGACGAGUCAACAUUUCUCUUUUUAAAAAAAUGCUAUUUAUUGUAUACAUCAUUGAAUCCAAGAAUUGAAAAAUCUCUCUUAAGUUUGAGUAGAGAAAAAAAAAAAAAUCAAGAAGAUAAGUGAGAUAAUGUGAAUAAAAGAAUUAAAAAAAAAGGGCUAAAAUGUUAAAAUUUACAACUGUAGUGUACUAAAAAGAAGGAUAUUUCUGCACCCAGCCACCCACACGAGGAAUUCUACACUAUCACACUUGUACCACGUCAUCAAUAACAAGCCAAUCACAUUUCUUCUUUUCAAACAAAAGUACAAUAAAAAUAUUUUUUUACAAUUAUGAUGGGACAUAUAUUCUUAAAAGAUUAAUUUGAUUGAUUUAUUACGCCACGUCAUUAAUAUACCUGUUGCAUUCUAGAAUUUUUCCACACCAACACAUGCAUUCCUUCGUGAAGCGUCAACCACGAGUGGGUAACCGUACCCAAAUAUCAUCGUAAAAACCAAAUAUCAGGGAUAUGUGAAGCCAAAUUUUGGCGACCAGAGUCUUCCAAAGGAAAUUCAGGAAGAGGGACUUAAUUGGUUGCUGAGUCAACCGCAGAUACAGUAAAAUAUUGGAGAUGACGUGGGAUCCUCUUGUGAAGAAGAAGAUCGAGGAAGAUAAAAGAAAGCAAACUACACAGUUAUAUACAUAAUAAAUAUACAUAUAAAACAAUUAUAAGAGAUCAUUAUUAUUCUAACUCUAUAAAUCUUCAUCUAAAUAUCAACAAUCUACAAACACUAGCAACUUUGUGUUCUUAAAAGUAUAGAGGCACAGUCCUCUAUUUCUCUCUUUUUAUAUAGAGUUCAGCUACUAUACUCUUAUGAGUACAAUCGCCCUCAUACUUAUAAGUCAUUUUCGAUGAUAGAACUUCCAAAUUGACGAUCCAUAUAUUAUCUAAGAGUAUUUAAAAUUUUUAGAAAUCAAAUUUUAUAAUUUUUCGACAUCAUUUAUCNGGCGUCGCAGGCGCUGACGGUGGUGACGCUGUUCCCGGCGGGCGGGCUGCUGCUGGUGCUGUCGGGCCUCGCGCUGGCCGCGUCCGUCGUCGGGGUGGUCGUCGCCGCGCCCGUCUUCCUCCUCUUCAGCCCCGUGCUCGUCCCGGCCGCCCUCCUCCUCGCCCUGGCCGUCGCCGGCUUCCUCGCCUCCGGCGCCCUGGGCCUCGGCGGGCUGUCCUCCCUCUCCUGGCUCGCCGACACCCUCCGCGCCAUGUUCCAGAAGACCCCGGACUACGUCGACCAGGCCAAGCGCCGGAUGGCCGACGCCGCCGCGCACGCCGGCCAGCGCACCAAGGACGCCGGCCAGACCGUCCAGACCAAGGCGCACGAGUCUGCCGGCAAGACUUAGUCAGUCUGUCACUGUCAGUCUGUCUGUCUGUCUGUCUGCCUGCCAGUCGAGUGUGGUUGUGUAAUUCGGACAAGUAAAAGAGAGAGAGAGAGAGAGAGAGAGAGAGAGAAGAGUCGCUGGUAUCUGUUUAAUUGUUGCUCUGCUUAAUGUAGUGUGCUUGUUGUGUGUGUUAAAGUUCCUUGUACCGGUAAUAGUGUGAUCGAGCCCCCCCUCCUCGUUUUCUUUUCAUUUUUCUUUCUUUUUCUUUUUCUUUUAUUUUUCUCUCUUGGGGAAUCUAAUAUGUUACUGGUGUACUGAGUUGUUGGUAAUUUGCAUGAUGGGAGAAAUUAAAUUAAUUAAUGUGGUGAUUCUGUGUUAGUUAUAAGGAGCUAGAUCUUUUAUUAUAGUAUAACACGAGUGUCUUUGCUAUGUAUAUAAAAGAAGACGCUAGAAAUAAAACACUCUGCUUAGUUUUAAAUUUUAUCCAUCGGAUGGUUGACUUAGUAUAAUUUUUUUUAAUUGUUUGAACUUAAACUUGAUCUAUAUGUGUGUGUGCGUGUGUGUGUGAGGUUUAUAAUUUGAAAUGAAUCGUAAUCGCACAAAAAAAAAUUACGUAUUAUUAUUAUUAUUAUUAUUAUUAACUAAAAAUUUAAAAAGAGUUGUGAAAUAUUAGGCUUCUUGUGAGGGGUUGUAGGUCGGAGGGGUUUAUAAGUUUUUACGCUUUAGAAUUGCAUCUUAUAUAUGCGUUUAGACCUUUUUUUAUUUUUUUUAAAGAUAGGUAGUAUGUCACGCGCUUUAUUUAUUUUAUUUAGAAAUAAAUUUAAUUGGAAAUGUGAAUCAGGAUUCUAAUUUGGGACGUCUGGCACCAACUAUCAAGUAAAAUAAAUUUAACUGAAAAUGUGAAUCAGGAUUCUAAUUUGGGACGUCAGGCACCAACUAUCAAGUUCUUUGCGACUUACGCUUAUGACGGUCUGUUAUAUUUAGACUUAGUUUGUAGUACGAUAGUGAAAAGCAUUAUUUUUUAAUUAUAAAAUAUUUAAAAAAUAAAAAAAAUAUUUUUAUAUGUUAUAAGGCUUAAAAAAUUUAAACGUGUUUUUUCAUUUUUUUAAUAUUAUAAAAUUGUGGUUAUUUAUAUAAUUUUUCGACCCGCUGUAAUUGUAAUUUUAAAGUGUGGAUGGAGAAAAAAUUAAAAGUGUUUUGAAUUUUUUGAACUUUUUAUACUAUAAGAUUUGAUGCCCUUAACCAACACUAGUUCUCACAAAGGUGUGGUUCAAUAAAGUUGAACAGAGGAGAUUUUCAUUCAGGUUUCUUUUUUUUAUUUUGGCAUAAAUGGUUGAAAGGAUUUCAAUUCAAAUAAUACAGCAAGUGUUUUUUUUUUUUUUUUUUUUUUGAGAGAUAGGUAACACGCUACCCGCUUCAUUUAUUUCAUUUAGAAAUAAACUUAGCUAGAAAUGUGAAUCAAUUAGGAUUCGAACUUGGAAUCUCAGGUAGUCAGGUAUCAAUUUAAAAAAAAGAAGGAUGCAGAUCUUAUGCAACCAUCCUAGGUUUUUAGAAAUUUUUUUUAGAUUUUUAGUAUUAAAUAAAAAAACAUGAGGUCACUUUUGGCCCUUGGACAAGAGAUAUAAGAUAUACACAUUUUUUACGGUGUACAUAUGGCAAUAUUUUUUGUCUUUUAAUUUUGACUUUAAUAUUUAAAUAUAGCAAAUCUCUUUAUGCAAAGGCACACUUUUCACUUUAUUUUUUUUGAAUUUUAAAAAUUUAUAUUUUGUUUCGUUAAACUUUUAGAAAUAUUUUUAGCAGGUUUCGACGCUAAUGAAGUGAUAAAAUCAAACCGUCCUUACUUGUUCUAAAGAAAUUUUUUUUACAAAAUAUUCUUUUCAUUUUUAACAGUACUUUUGGUAUAUUCAAUAAUAAAUUAUAAAAAAAUAGAUGAAACAGCGACAAAACUCCGAUGGAGGGGAAUAAGUGCAUUAACUCGAAAUUUUGAAGAGGUAAAAUACAUAUUUUUAAAAGUAAAAAGGAAAAAUGUAUAAACGUGAAUACUUAUGAGAAAGUUUUAUGUAUUUUAGCUUUUAAUUUUUGAGUAAAAAACUUACGAUAUUCUUCAUGCAAUUUCGAAUUAUUUUACUUUCGUAUCCUAUAAUUGGGAAAAAAAAAAGAAAAAGCAUUCUACGUACUUGACAGAAUUGAGCAGGAAAUUUUGCCCCACUUAAGAGCAGUUGUGCCCAGGUUUUUUAGCUUGUUGUUUUAAGGAUAAACUUCAAAUACCAUUUCUGUGGUUUCGCACUUCUCACUUUGGUACCCUGUGAUUUAAAGUAUAUCAAGUUAGCAUCCUGUAGAUUUAUUUUUAUCUUUUCAUCAGCUUUUGCGUUAAUAUUUUAUUAAAUUAUAUACAAAAAACUUCAGAUACCCUACCUAGGUUUAUCGAAUAUUCACUUUAGUAUUCAUUGAUACACUUUAAACCACAGAGCACUAAAGUGAGAAAGUGUGAAAUCACAGGGGUGGUAUUUAAAGUUUUUCUUUAUUUUAAAUAUGGGUUGAAUUCAAAAUAAUCAUAAUUUUUCUUCCAAAAUUCUGGUAUGCUCAAGUUAAAUAAACAGAGAAAAAAGGGUCAUGCCAAGUGAAAUUAGAAAAUUUUUUAGCUUUUUUGAAAAAAAAAAAAUGGCAUACUAUCUGCUUUAUUAAUUAUUUUUUAAAAAAUAAACUUAAUUAAAAAUAUGAAAUAAUUAGACCAAGUAAAAUAAGAUUUUUUUUGGAAAAAACUUCAAAUACCAUUCCUGUGGUUUCGCACUUUCUCACUUUAGUAUUCUGUGCUUUAAAGUAUAUCACUUUCGUACUCUAUAAUCUUGUUUUUCUCUUUUGUUAUCCCCUCCACUAAUUCUUUUCGUUAAAUUAGUGAUAAAAUUAAAACUAAAUGGUACGAAAGUAUAUAUUCGAUAAACUAUAGGUAAGGUAUCUGAAGUUUUUUGUAUAUACUUUAACGAAAAGUUAACGAAGAGGCUGACGAAAAGAAAAAAAAUGAGACCAUAGGGUGCUAAAUUGAUACACUUUAAACCAUAAGGUACUAAAUUGAGAAAGUGCGAAAUCAUAGGGAUGGUAUUUCAAGUUUACCCUUUUUUUUGUUGGGCCUAUUUUUGUCACGCUGAGUUAGAUUACACAAAUGGGCCUGCCCAGUUAAAUCCCAAAAAAAAGAAGAAAUCGUAUAAACAUAUCACCUUUUUUUUCUUUUUUGUGUGUGUGUGUGUGUGUGUGUGUGUGUGUGUGUGUGUGGAGCCUCUUAGCUAUAAAUUGGGGUGUGUGUGUGUGUGUGUGUGUGUGUGUGUGUGUGUGUGUGGAGCCUCUUAGCUAUAAAUUGGGUUGGACCCGCCCGAGUUAAACCAGAAAACUCUUUGGUUACUCGGAUUGCAAUUUUUUUUAGCCGGUUAGUUAGAAAUCAAGUCAAACCGGCCUGGUGCGAGCUUAUCAGUUUCUGGUCACAUCCGGGCAAGAAACCUCCACUGAAUUAAAAAUCAAGUUGAACUGGCUGGUUUGACUAGUGCGACCGUGAUCCGGUCUAUAAAUUGAUUCGAGUCAACCAUUUAAGCUAAAUAAGUCAGAAAAUCACUUUGAACCAUUCGAUUCAGCGGUUCAACCGUCGAACCGGAAAAUCGGUCUAACUUUAAUCAAACCACCCGGUUAUAUUGAUCAAGUCAUACUAAAACCCAACUACUUAAAAUUAACUUAACUGAAUUUAUUUUUUAUUAACACAUAUUAGUCUUGUAAAAAGUAAAAUUUGAAAACUUACGUAUCCUCAUUUUGGUCUAAAAAUUAGUAUUUUUAGUUAAUUGAAUAUAUAUAUAUAUAUAUAUAUAUAUAUAUAGAGUCCGGCUACUAUACUAUCGAUAGUACCAAGCCCUUGGUACUAUUGAGUUUUCUACUGUUAGAUCUACCAUUUGAUCAUUUCCACCCGUUAGAUUAUACUAUUAAACCAAGCAUCCACUCAACCCUAGGGGACCACUAUUAAUUUAAUCGGGGACCACUAUCAUCCUAACCGCACAUCCUUUAAUCCAACGGCCGAAAACUCAAUAGUACCAAGGGCUUGGUACUAUUGAUAGUAUAGUAGCAGAAUUCUAUAUAUAUAUAUAUAUAUAUAUAUAUAUAUAGAGUAGGGCUAGAAUACUUGUAAAAGUAUCAUCGGGGUGAUACUUGUGUGUUUUUAGCCCUUGGAUGGAGAGAUGUGAGGUUGAGAUGAUGNAUAUAUAUAUAUAUAUAUAUAUAUAUAUAGCUAGGCUCCUAUGCUUUCGAAAGUACGGAGGCUCCGUACUUGUAAGUUGUUUUCGAUGAUAGGACAUCCGAUUCGGCGAUCGGUUCCAUUAGACAUGAUCUACGCUAUUGUAAUUAUUUAGAAACCAAAUUUCAUAAUUUUUUGACUUCAUUUGCCUAGUAAACGAGUAACCUCAAAAUGAACAGCUGAAAAUAAAAAACUCAUAAAAAAUAGUGAUAAAGGAUUUAAAUUUCAAAUCGAAAGUAUUGUUCUUACUCUUGAUGUUAAGUAGAAUUUUCUAUUAAAUUUUCAUGUAAUUUGGAUACUUUUACACCGUUGAACUUAAAAACGUGCAACAUCAGCCGUUAAAAUAGUUAUUUUUGAGACCCUAUGAUCGCUUAGUAAAUGAUGUCGAAAAAUUAUGAAAUUUGGUUUCUACAUAGUUUCAUUAACGUAGAUUAUGUUUAACGGAGCUGAUAGUCGAAUCGAAUGUCCGAUCAUAAAAAACAACUUAUAAAUACGGAAACCUCCGUACUUUCGAAAGUACAGAAAACAUACUAUAUAUAUAUAUAUAUAUUUCGAUAUAAUAAAAUUUAAAAUAGUAAUAAAAAAAUUAUGACAUGAUGCUUGGCGUCACUGACUUUGCCAACCAAUAAUGCUUGACCUAGCAAUAUUUCUGUGUGUCGCUGUUCGACCCAAUUUUUAAAACAUUAUCAUAAGUCCAAUUGAACGCGUAGCAGAUCUAUUAUACGGAUAGAGUUUUUUCUAUAAAUGUAAGUCAUUAGAUCACAAACAAUCUGUUUAUAAAUUUUAUCAAAUGUCUUCGGUGAGAGUUUGAUCGCAUGGUCGGCAAGUCAUUAGAAACCGAUCUAGCCCAUAAUCAGGCUAAGUUUGGUUUGGUUUAAACCGAUUUUGUUUAGAAUUUGGUUCAAUUUUGAUGUAAAAAAUUAUCAUAACACAAACAAAAUAAGAAUCAGCUUAGUGUUUUAUUCAAAUCUUUAAGGAAAAAGAAGCAUGAGAAAAGUUUAAAACAUUUAUUUUAGUAUAGAAUGAGAGUAGUUUUCGAGGCAUAUGGAUGUGUUUGCUUCGAAUAAAAAGAAAUUACAAAAGCUUUGCUUGGAAUAAAAGGAAUUUUGGUUUUAGUUUUGGGGCAUACUUGUUUUGUUCAAAUGAAAAGAAGAGAGAAAGGUGAGGAGAAAAAAAAAAAAGUGGUUUUAGUUUUGUAUAAUAUUAGUAUUAAUUUUAAAAACUGUGAUUUAAAAUUUUAAUUUAGUCCAUUGGCCUUCGAGGCAGCUCAACAUUCUAUAAGCUUUGCCUGGAAGCCCAUGCUUAGGUUUUCACAUGUGAGGUUUAGUUCUAUAUUGAAAAUUAAAGAUUUAUUGUUGCUCUUUUUAUGCUCUCUUGUUCUCAAGCUUGAUAUUUGGGAGAAUAUGAGAGUAAAACUCUCGACUAAGCACACGCACGGCACGGGCCGGGCUGCGCGUGGUCUUGGACCUGGUUCACUUAGUUAUUUUAUUUUGUUUUAUUUUUUGGGGUUCAAUAUUUAAGCUUAAUAAUUACUUUGCUACACUGAGCUUUACAUCAUCUUACAUUGAGCUUUCUUUUGCUGGAUUUCCAAGCCUUUUGGGUUCGUGUCGCACCACCCCGAAGAGGUGCCGACUGGGUGGACAGUAAUCGUUGUAUCAUUAGGAGUGAUUGUCGAAGCCUCGCACGUGGAGGAGCAAUCUCGCUUAUAGGACAGUAUUUUCGCAUGCCUCGACUCAAAGGUCUCAUCUAUUCUCUUCUUUCUAAUAUUUACUUAUUGAUUCUUGCAUGCGUUUUAAAAUACUUAUUUAAACUUUGUGUUUCAAAAUAUUUUCAAAAUAACAUAAUUUUUAAUAAAAGAUUUAAAAGGAAUUUUUCCAACAUAUAAUAAUUGUGAAAGUAGUGGUUUUAGUUUGGUUCAAAUAUUUUGUAAAGUACAUUGUAACGCAUCAAAUCUAGCCCCCAUAGUAUCAUUGAUUGUUGGGCUUAAAAUCACUUUUUUUUUGAGAGAGAUAGGCAGUAUACGACUCGUUUAUUUUAUUUAGAAAUAAAUUUAACUGAAAAUAUAAAUUAAUUAUGAUUCGAAUUUGGAACCUCAAAUACAAACGGCCAAGUCCUCUACCACUUGCGCAUAAAAUCACUUUUCUAUAGCUCAAAUUUUUAUAUACUCCCUUAGUUUUUUUUUUUUUUUUUUAAAAUCAUUUCCAAUAUAUUAUUUCUUCUAUGAAUUUAAUAUAACUUUUUUUUUUAUAGACUCCGAUAUACUCGUCAGGCUCACGAAACAUAAUUUGUCGGUGACUUUACUAAAUGAAAUAAGAAUUACUAGGUGGACCUCUUAUUUGAUGCUUCUGAUUUUACCAUAUAAGUUAAAGGAAAAAAAGGUAUAAAACUUUCCUCAACUACCAUCCUUUCAAUCCGACUAUCUAAUCUUUAAAAAUCUUAAUUUUACUACUAGCUUUUUAAUUUAUUUGAUUUGAAUUAAUUUUUAACUUUAGAAUUUGAAUGCGUCGUAUCUUUACAGAUUUACUUAGCAUAUUUUAUGCAAUUAACAUAAUUGUAAAUAUAUUAAAGUAAGCAAUUAGUUUCAAUUUUGUAUCUGAAAAACUAUCAAAUUACUUAUUAAUUAAACAAGCUGAAAAAUUGGAUAAUAAAAUAGCCGAAUCAAAAUGAUCUAUAGUUCAUAUAAGUUUUAUAUAUUUCAUCAGAAAGUUAUUAAAGAUACUUAAGUUUUAUAUAUUUUACCUGAAAAUUAUUAAAUAUACUUUUACACAAUGCUUGUUCUAAUAACACCAUACAGAUAUCAUCACUUUCUUAUACAAUAUCUUUUCUUUUUUCUUUUUUUUUUUUUUUUUUUUCAAAAAUCCGAACUCGAACCCGAACCCAAACUAGAACCCGACUCCAACCCCAAAACCAAAACCGACGAAUUUUAAAAAUCCAUAUCCAAACCCUAACCCGACCCGACCAAAAAUUCAAAACCAGAAACCAAACCCAAAAAUCCAAACCCGAAACAAUUAAUUUUCUUUUCAAUAUUUCUAAAUAUAUUGCAUCAAAUCUAAAUUUUUAAAAUACAAAUUCAAAUAUAACAUCAAAUUUUGAUUUACAUGUUAUAUUUAAAUAAAUUUGGGUUCGGAUUGAGUUAGGGUCGGGUUUGGGUUCGGGUCGGGUACAGUCAAAUUCAUAUCCGUCGAAUUUUUAUUUUUGAUAUNAAAAAUCCAUAUCCAAACCCUAACCCGAUCGAAAACCCGAAACCCGAAUCCAAAAUUCUGAACCCGCAACAAUUAUUUCUCUUUCCAAUAUUUCAAAAUAUAUUAUAUUAAAUUUAAAAUUUUAAAAUAUAAAUUCAAAUAUAAUAUCAAAUUUUUAUAUACAUAUUAUAUAUAAUGUAAAAUAAAUUCGAGUUCGGAUCCGGUUCCGGUUCUGGUUUCGAUCGGGUACGGUUAGGGAUGUAAAACGGGCCGGGCCACAGUACGGCACGGGUACUGUAGCACCCGUGCCGUGCCGGGCUGGCCCGAAGCCCUGGGCCGUGCUGGGCCACUAUUUUGGAGCCCGACGGCCCGGCACGGCACGGCCCGCUUGGGCCGUGCUAGCAGGGCAAGCCCUGCCCGCACGCCAUGGGGUCUGACCUCCUAGGGAGGAGAGCUCGGCCCUCCUCCCCGGGAGCUCUCCUCCCAAGGUCUGCUGAGGCCGACGUUAGGAGGUGGACUUUUGGUCCAAUGGACCAAAGACUUUUUGAGUCUUUGGUCCAUUGGAUCAAAAGUGUAUAACAUUUUAGUUUUUUUUUAAAAUAAAUAAUACAAAUUUAUGUAUUUUUUUAAAAAAUUAAAUAUUUUUACUUUAGUAUAAUUAUUUUUAUAAUUUUUUAAUAUUUUAAUCAAAAUAUUAAUUUAAAUAAAAAUAUUUAUUGUUUAUAUUUUUAAAUUUCAUACUAAAUUUUUUAAAAAAGUUUAAAAAAUAAAUACUUUGUAGGCCGGCUCGAAGCACGGCCCGGCCCGUGCCUUCCGGGCCAAAGGGCAGUGCCGGGCCAGAGGAUAGAAAAAUUGGGCUCGGCACGGCCCGGCCCGAAAUUAAAUCCGGGCCGUGCCGGGCCGAGCGGGACAGUAUCCGAUUUGGCCCGAAAAAUAUGGGCCGUGCCGGGCCGGCACGGCCCACAUUACAUCCCUAGGUAGAGUCAAAAUCCAUAUCCGUAUUCAUAUCUGUCGGAUUUUUACUUUUGAUAUUCAUAUUCGAAACCGUAUCUAUUUAGCAUCGAAUAAAUUCGCUCCGUUCUAUUCGGAUUUGGAUAAAAUUUCAGAUAUCCGUACCCAUUGACAUCCCCAGUUGUUCCCUGUCAAGUUAGUACCUAACUUGAUCAACAUUGGAUUGGUCAGUAGCUCCCCUGGGCAAAAUUUCUAGGGGUGUCCCAGCACCAACCGGGAUCAUCCCCAUCAACAUGUUCCUGGGCUUUUUUUUUUUUUUUUUUUUUUGUGUAAUUACAAACCCUAGGGUAAAUUUCAAUUACCAUCUUUCAUUUUUAGCACACAUUUACACUUUGUUGUUACAUAGUUUUGCGAGUCUGUAACUCUGUAUUCUAUUACCUUGUGGUUGCUAUUUUUUCUGUACCGUGUGAGCUUCCUUUAUGGGUUGGCACAUAGUUGAAACUAUGCUAUAGUUAUAACUGCAUGCAUAUUCAAUUUUGAUAUUUAAUUUCGUGCAUUUCAAUUAAGCUACUAUAAUUGGAAUUGUACAAAAGAGACUCAACUGCAGUAAUUGAAACUAUAUCCAAAUUAACAACAGUUGGAGAGAGACUUUAAACAAAAGAUGAGUUUACCUCCCCACAAUUACCUUUUUGAAUAAAAGAUAUAUUUUUUCUUUUAUAUUGAGGGUAAUCUCAUUAUCUCAUUUAUAAAAUAAUAUAAUUUAGUAAUUAGACUUCUCGGGUGCGUGUAUCAAACAAAUUAGUUAUAAAUAUAUACUACAUUUGCAUGUACUGCAUUUACAAUUACUCCGACAAAACGGUUCCUUAAAGUAGGUUAGAAAUAAAUAAUACAUUUGAUUAUAAAUCAAUCCAACACAUAUAAAUUACAAAACAAAGUGGAAAUCAAGUGACUCAGAAAUUUAUAUUGCAAACAGAGGAGCUCUUUAUUAUAUAUCUAUUUAUGUCUUUCCUUUCAGUUCCCUUUUAAUAUUUCAUAGUGUUCUAAAAUUAGAAAAAUAAAAAAGCUAUAAUGCAAAUAACUUUUCUCAAUAUAUUGCACAUUGUACUUUACCCCUAGAUAUAAAAAAUAUAGACUUAACCCCCACUCAAAAAAUAGAAAAUAUCUUAUCAGAUUAUUGUAUUAAGAAAAAAAGUAAAAGAACCAAAUAUGCCUCCAUUUUUUACUUUUUUUUUUCUCCUCAAAGCAGUAAAGUGCAUAUUUUUUUUUUUUAAUUGAAGAGAUUAAGUGCUAACAACAUAAGUUUCAAGAGAGAUUAAGUGCACAUUUUCUUUAUCCAAGAAAUUAAGUGCAACACAUAAUAUAUUAAAGAGGGUAAAAGACAUUUCAGCCAAAACAAAAAAGAUUGACAAGAUUUUAUAUAGAUUUUGAUUCAGAUAGGAUACUGGUUGCGCAUUCAACUUCAACGGUUGAUCUUGAAGGAAUGGCCGUAACAUCAAUCGCUAUUUGUGAUAUCAGAGUUUGCUUACGGACUUUUACCGCGAAAAAGCCAAAAAAAAAAGAGAAGGUAUCAUGGUUGAUACAAUUAUUCAUACUAGGAAUUGUUAUGCCAAGUCCUUUUUGACUUUAAUUCCAAAUCCAUUACAACAAAUCUAACCUCCUAAAGGUCCUUUACAAAAUUUCAAGUUCAAUAAGAUCACAACAGUGGCCUAAGCAUGCAAUAUAGUCAAAAAAGAUAGAAACAAAAAAAAGAAAAUCGUUUACUUUCGCGAUAUCCGCAGAAAAUGAAAAGCAUUGGAUAGGGAGAACAUAUGCAGAUUCUGCUUUCGACGUGAUCUCGAAUCCGAAAAGGAGGAGCAAAGAAAGUGAUGAUCUGGGAAUCCAGUAGUGUAGUUUUCGAUCUUUCAAAUUGCCGAAGACGCAAGUAACUGCUGAGGCAUCUAACCUUUGCUAACACGUCGCGAUCGGAGCAAGAGUGCGAAAACAAAAUGGAAUAGCGCGACGAAAAACAUCGACAAUUCGGUGUUUGCAUGUUUCUUCAACAGGGAAGGUGCAGUGUUCAUAGCUCAAGUUGAAACUAACAAAAAAGAGAAAGUAAAGUUGAUGUUCUCCUCAAUGAGAUCUAAAUGAUAUCACAACUUUGAAAAUUUCACCCUCUUUCUAAAAAUAAAAAAAAAAUACUACUUUUAUGAAAGAGAAAGCUCCAAGAAGAAUAAAAUGUAUCACCAAAAUUAAUUUACAAAAUUCAAUUGACACUAUGCAUAUUUGAUUGUAUUUAUUACACUUGAAAAAUUAUUAAUAACCAUAUUAAAUGCAUCCAAAUGCAAAUAAUCACUUUUAAUUUACUAUUGUUGGAUAAGAUAUCUUAGCCAUUUAGUUUCACAUAAAUUAUCCACGAUCUUUUGUUUUCUACGUUAUUCAAGUUUAAGAGAGAUUUUCAUAUUUUUUGAGAUCCGUGUAGGAGUGAAAACGGAUCGGAUAUGACCAGAUACUUGAUGAAACCAUAUCCACAUCCAUAUUUUUUUGGAAUACGUAAAUAGAUACGGAUAAGUUUCGGAUGGUAAAUUUUUAUUACCGUAUUAGCUACAAAUAGAUAGAUUCGGAUAUGAUCGGAUAUUUUUUCAGAUUCGAAUAUGAAUUUGAUAUAUAUUCACAUAUUAUUCAAAUAAUAAUAUGCACUAAUAUAUAUAAAUAUAAUAAAUAUUAAAUAGAAUUAGCAAUAAUGCAACUAAAGUCUUAUACUCAACUCGUGUUCAAAAUAAUAUAUACCUAUAUUGGAUUGAAAAAAAUCUAAAAUUUAACAUGUUAAAAAUACAAUUUUUAUAUAAAACUCAUAAUAAAAUAAGCAAAAAAUAUAAAAAAUUACAUUAUUUUUUAUUUUUUUAUAGUAUAUACUGAUCGUCUUUAUUGAAAGAAGAAGACGGAAAGAAAUUCGCCGAUCACAUUAUUUCAAAUUUCAAAAAAUUAAUUUUCUAUAUUCUAUAUUGGGAUGUACUAUUAUAAUACAAUUUAUUAAUAUAAUAUAAUAUAUAAUGCUAUUGAAAAAUCAGGAUAUCUGUAUUUUUUUUUUCGGAUAUCCAGAUAAUUAACUCUCUAAAAUUAAAUUUGUAUCCACAUCCGACCGAAUAUAGAUAUUUUCUAUCCGGAUACGGAUAAUACUAAAUAUUAAUGUGGAUAUUUUUGGAUAAUACUUGAUCCGUUUUCACCCCUAGAUCCACCCUACAUUGUGUGAUGAUAAAAAAGUCAAAAUAAAUAAUUCAUUUUUUUAAGAAAAGUAAAAUGUAUGGAGACCAUCCUAACUAAAUAGAGUUAAAACUCUAUCAAAUUUAAUAGAAUAACCAAUAAUUGACCUACUAUUAUUUGCUAAAAAAUGAAUUAAAAUCAUUAAAUUUAUCAAUAAAUUUGCUAUAAUUUUUAUUUUUUUAUUUUUACUCACGUCACUCAACCCAAAAAACUAAAAAAUUGAGGGGGCUAUUCAUAGUUGGGGUGACAUCCCUAAAUAUUUUUACCAAAAGUAAGAGACAAAAUGCUACCUCUAAGUCAAAAAAUAGAAUGUAAAUCUUACACUCGCCUAAUUAAAAAUUUAAAUACUAUUUUAACGUUAAUUUUUGGAUGGAUAAUACUGUUGGGAAUCCGGUACUUGCCCCAGUACCAGAUCUUGUGAAUCCGCAACCCGCUUCGACUGUUGUGGAUCCGGUAUCGAUUGUUGGGAUUCCGCAACGGAAACGUCAAAUCGAGUUUCUGAUACAAUCAUAAAAGAGAAAAAUAUGCAGGUAAAAUAAGAUUCAAUAAAUAAGAGAAGAUUACACUUGACUCCUCUUUUGCACAAAGUAGCUAUAACCCGAGCCCUCUUUCUGAAUCUCUUCUAUCCUUCUCUUGUCUAUAAAAGACAACUCUCUUUCUCUCUCACAUGCACCCGUUCUCUCUCACAUGCACCUGUGCACUAGGUGCAUGCAACCGACCAACUCUCUCUCUCUCUCUCGGUACAACCUACCAAAAAGUUUCAACUUUUUGGUAAGUACUCCCCUCCAAAAGCACCCCACAUAGUGCUUAUAUAAUGCUUACAAUAAACGUAUCCAAAUCCUAGUAUAUUUAGAAUUUCUGCUCUAAUAAAUAUUUAAAUCUAUAUUUCGUUCAUCUCUAAUAGAUUUAAAUAUUUAUUCUAAUUUAGUUAGAUUCAUACUUUAAUUAAUAUUUAAAUCUUAAUUAAUCUCCAACAAAUUUAAAUAUUAAUUCUAAUCCAAAUAGAAUUCAACUACAAAUCUACCCGAAUCCUAACAAAUACAUAAGAUUUACACUUGCUGGUGGUGUAUAAAUAGAAACACUCAAAAAAAAAAAAAAAAAAAAAAAAUUGCUGCUUCAACUUUUAAUCCAGAAUUUAAAAGCAAAGGCUAAGAUUGCUUCUCCUAAAAGCCAAAGCUAAAAUUGGUGCUGUUAAAGACCUUUAGGUUUAUUUCACUUUCAAAUCCACAGUUGACUGUUUGGAACAAACUAGUUCAUGUGAGCAUGCACUUUUCAGAGCCCUAAUGCCUCCAUACAAAUGGCAGUGGAUGUGGAUAACAUAAUUUUGCAGAUAUUUUGGUUGUCUUUUUCAUCAUCUUACCAAGAUUAACCAAGCUGUUCCUGCAUCACCAUCUGCAGGGUUUUAAGUACUCACUAGAUUAGGGCUCCACACACAGUUAAUCGAUUCGCCACGUCAAGUUGUUGGAUGAUGACCAGAGAUAAGGGUUCCAAAUUCAGAUUUUUGGUGGAGUUCAGAUCAAAUUAGCCACGAAUACAGUGAAAAACUGAUCCAAAUUUGAAUCACCAUGUUUCCAAGUUGAGCAAAGUAAAAGCAAUAUUUGUAAACCUAGUAUUAGCUAUAGGUUCCAAAACCAUGACUGAAGCACACCUUAAAAACAGGCAAACCAAAAGGCACACUCCUUAACUAUGGCCGCUGUUGAAAUUGGUCCUAUCAAAAAUCUAUUCUAGAAACUUCCAGCUCAAACUUGCAAAAUCCUCUGUAACUGUUGCAACGAAAACUCUCAUAUCAAAUGGAACAUAACUAAAAUCAAACACAUAUAUUAGUUGAGGGUUUGAAAUCCUAAAAAAAGGCAUACAUCAGGGAUCGAUUUCGAUAUCAACAAUCCCAUUCGAAAGUGUGAGAUGCAAUGAAUCUCACAUCAUCUCAUGAUUUGGGGGUAAGAAAUGAGAUAUCAUGUGAACGUGAGGGUCUAAACCAGGUGAGUCUAUGACGUCCCAAUAGAAUAGUCUCAUAUCGGAUAAAUCCUAAUAUUACUGAGUUUUAAGUGUUUUGGACCAGUAGUUUGAACUACUAGUACUAGUAGGCUGGGUCGUUAUAUUAUUCCCCAACAGAUAUUUGGGCCCACAAGCAAACCUGUCUUAAAUUUAGCAUACUAAAAGAAUCCACUAAGCUUAGAUACCUAAUUGUAAGCCAAACAAAAAGGAGUUAGGUGCCCUAAUCCAAUACAUUAUUCCCCUAUAAAAUUCCUACUAGAGAACCCAAAACCUCACAGAUGUCACCUAUUAGAACAUAUCCAUCACCUGCAAUGGGAUCCACCACUACCUUUAUAAUGCUUUUAUUAAAAUGCAAGGAUAAUAACUUGCUAUAGACUAGGUUAGCUUUGAGCAUCAUCCAAAAGAUUAACAACGCCGAUGAGUAAAGAUUAUCAGAUAGAUAGAAUACCACAGAUACAGCAAACAAUAAUGCAGUUGAAAUAAUAGCCAUAAUGAAGUCUCAGUAAAUGUUUACAUCAUAGAGAGCCCCAGGGUACAGCUACAGAAGAACAGUAGCUCCAGCCUCAUUGCAGUUUAAGAAAACAUAGAAAUUACAUGUCAUAAUUUACCCCCCAAAAUUCCUACAUGAGACUUGGUUUAAGAAACAUAUAACAGUUGUUUUCCAUUACUUAAGGGAUCCCCCCCUUUUCUCCUAGAUACCACCUUAACAACAUAUACACUGAUAUUAAAGAAAGAAUGAAACUAAGAUGCUAGAGAUGAGUUGAGAAACAAAGGCUUAAUUGCUAUAGGGCAUGGUAAAAAAGAAGGGAAAAAAUAUACAUAUAUUUGAACUAUAGAGAGUAAAUCUAUACCUGGGCAAGGGACUUGAAACAGCCCAGAUUAGAUGUCUCCACACUUUUGUGCUUUGAUCUGUCUAAAUUCCCCUAGAAAAUAUAUGAACUCUUUUGCUAAAGAAAAUGAAUCCUUGAAUUACCACCUUCGGUCGUUCGUCCGUCGGCUCCACGACCUUGCGAAGCACCCAAAAGAAUAUUUAUUUACUCAAACUCAAAGUGAUUGAUUACCUUACCUGCCAGUGAUUUUCUCCUUACGCUCAAAAUUUUCGCUUGCUCAGUUCGGAUCGCUAAACUACCUUCCUCUCGAGCUGCAUCUGCUCGAGCAAUGCCCCGACGUCUGCGGCUUGAUCGAGCCCGCCCAUGUGCAGGUUCGAAUUCGGAACCUCGCCGCCGGGAAUAACACCAGCGGGCAUUAGGUUCGAACGCCCAGCGGAAGCAUGUGCGGAGCCGGUUCCGACGGGCUUCUCGGGAGGGGACUCCUUAACCAAAGAAUGGACCCACGAAAGGUCGGGUUCCUCACCACCGCCCGAUCUCAGCUCGAAUGACGACGAUCUCUGCAGCCUGCCCAGUUCUUCGCUGUUCACCUCCCAGUCCGGCGCCCUCGACGGCGAACCCCAGUUUGGCCACGACGAGUUCACCGGAGAACCUACGAUAAGAGAGGUGCCCGAGCCGAGAUCGCGGGAGCUGAGGCUCCUCAGCGUCUGCUGCUGCUGCUGCUGCUGUUUCUCGCGUUGCACGAGUGCGGCGAAAUGGGAGUUCAUAGGGGAUAUCGGCUCCAUGCUCCGAGGAGACAUCCGGCCGGGCGAACCGAUCCCAAGAGAUGCCUGGAGCAGAGACGAGUGCGGGGACAAUUGCUGAGCGUCCACGGCUUUAGGCGAGAACAAGUUUUGCUGCUGCUGCUGAAACUGAUGAAGGAUGGCGCUCUUGUGCGACGGCGAAAAGAUUGCGCCCUGAUCGGAGCUGUAGUUAGGGGACGAGGCGAUCUCGGCGGAGAAGAGAUCAUCGAGAUUGGCUGGGGCGAGGGUCAAGGCCCGGGCAAUCAUGCGGUUGCCGGCGGAGGCGCCGAGCCGAGAGUGCGACAGAUCGUUGCCGCGCAGGAGGGCGUCGUAGUCGUAAUCGUAGUCCGACAUCAGAGAGGAGAAAUCGUCGGCCACCUGCACGUCCCUGGCGCUGAGCGACGCGCGGAGGCGGCUGGACUGGAGGACGCUGCCGGGGAGGUGCAGCGCGGGCACGCUGGGCUGCGGCCAGCCGGCGCAGCCGAGGGGAGCAGAAGAAGAACCGGCGGCCGAGGGCGAGAGGGGCGGCAUGCCGGCGGACGGGAGCGAGGAGGAGGAGGAGGAGGAGGAGGGGGAGGCGGGGGGCAUGGGCAUGGGCAUGAAGUCGGAGGAGCGGGGGGAGGGGACGGCGGACCCGGUGGAGACGAAGAUGGGGCGGAGCUCAUCGGGGGAGUGGGCGAAGAAGCAGACGCAGCGGGCGCAGGCGGGGCCGUCCUUGCAGAUGCGGGUGCGGUACUGGGCGGGGUGGAGCCAGCACUCGAAGACGCCGUGCGCGUACUCGCACAGGUCGCCGCGCCGGCAGGCGCCCUUGCGGAAGUCCGGGCACGGCAUGCAGCUGUAGUGGUACUUGCGCGGGUCCCGCCGCCGCGCGUUCUCCCCCGGGUGCACGAACGGGCACUCCGUCCAGUCGUGCGAGUACGCGCGCGAGCACGGCCGCACCUUGAACGAGUACAUCCGGAACUCGUCCGUCGCGUACACGCUGUUCUUUAUGUCCGGCAGCGACGACGGAUCUCCUGCGACGACAGCGAACUCCCUCUCCCUCUCCUUUUCCUUUCUCGGUGGUUGGGGUGGGAUUGGUCCUGGUGGUGGUGGUGGUGGUGGUGGGUUUCGGUUGCGGAGGAGGGGGUAGGGGUGGUGGGUGAGGGAGGAGGAGGCGGAGGAGGGAGGGUUUGAGGUCGGGGAGGUGGGGAGGGAGAGGACGAGGUCCGGAGGGGAGGCGGCCGAGGGAGUCGGGGGAGGAGGGUCGGCGCCGGCCGAGAGAGGACGGCGGAGGGGGCGGAGGGGGAGGCCGAGGCGGCGGCGCAGUGGAGGGCGGUGGCGGCGUCGGAGGAGGAGCGGCGGUUGACGUCGACGGACGGGGCGGACAGGAGCACGCCGAGCGCCUCCACGCUCCCGUACGUCGCCGCCACCAUCAGCGGCGUGCGCAGCUCCCGCGCCAUCUGCGCCGGCGCCGGCGCCGGCGCCGUCCCCCUCCUCCGUCCGUACCACACCCCCUCCUCGUCGGCGGCGCCGGCCGGGAGCACGACGAGGAGGCGACGCAGCGCCGCGGCGUCGUUGUUCGCCGCGAGCUCCAGCAAGAGGCUCGGCGACGUGGGCGAGGGCGAGUGCGAGGAGACGGAGGAGGACGAAGGGGACGAAGGUGAGGAAGGGGAGUCGGGAACGUCGACGGAGAGGUUGGGGGGCGGCGACCGCAUAGUGGGAUUAUUAUGCGGCUCCUCCGAGGGUUUUAUGCGCUCCGGGCCACCGCACAUGCUUCUUCGCCCGCGGCGGAGGGAGAGAGAGAGAGAGAGAGAGAGAGAUUGAGGGGCCUGUGGAUUUUUAUAUACACGCGGCGCACCGACAUUAUUACAUAUUUAAUAAACGAAUUACGAAAAAUAAUAAUUACAACAAUAAAUAUAAUUUCGUAAUAGUUAAAUAAAAAUUACACAUGUACUUCACAAUUUAAUAAAAGUGUAAGAAGAAAUAUGCAGUAUAUACCGAGAUAUUUUUGUAAAAUUAAGGAGAUUACUGAGAAAUUGCGUUACGUGCCGUAAAAAAAUACAAUAAAAAAAAUAUUUUAUUUAUUUUUAUAUGUAAUAUUAUGUUUCGUAUAUUGUGAUGAGUCGAUUAUAACAUAUUUUCUGCAGUCUCACCGAAAAAUAUAAAAACAUAUUUCUAUAUAUAUAUAUAUAUUUUUCUAAUUUUAUUUUAUUUAAUGGCGUCAGAUAGACCUAACGGUUUCAACAAAGUUGAAAGAUUAACAACAUACCCUCUCCUUAUACUUUACUAUUUUAUUAUCUUAUUUAAUACUUGAUCGAAAAGUUUAAUAUCAAAUAAGAUAAAGAAAUAAAAGUUUUUAAACACCAGAAACGAUGCAUUAUUUAACAACCUAUAGUAAANUAACUUAGGUUUCGUUUGGGAUUGUGAGUAAAUUGCAUUACGUGCGGUGGGUAAGUAUGAUGGAAAAAAUACUAUAUUUGUUUUCUUAUGUAAUAUUGUAUUCUGCAUAUAGCGAUGAGUUGGUUACAAUAUAUUUUCUACGGUCUCAUCGGAGAACGCAGAAAUAUAUCCCCUGUAUGCUUUUGUCCCAACUAUAUUUUAUCUAAUAGCGUUAGAUAGAUCUUAAUACAAAAACUAAGCUUUAAGGGCAAAUAAGAAACUUUGGUGACGAUAGAAGAGUAUAUUUGAAAGCGUAAAAUAAUAAUUUUAUAGAGAUGACGGUUGUUCUUAACCGUUCAAUAAUUGAAUUUAACUCUAUGAGUAUAUUUGAAAAACUUUAAAAUUUUAAAAUAGUAUUUUUAAUAUUAGUUUUUUAAAAGGAACAAAUAGAAAAUCAAAAACUUUUGAAAGGUAUAUAAGCGAUUGCUCUUUUAUUUUACUAUCAUACUUAUUUGACAGUAAAUAUUUUAAUAAGACAAAUAAAAUACAAAAUAAUUAAAUAUAAUUUUUUAAAUUAUAAAAUGAUAAAGUAAAAAUAUGCUAAAUGACCGUAGAAAAAACUUAGUUUACCCCAUUAAAAUUAAUUCUUUUUAUUAUUUCUCACCAUUACCUUCUUAACUAAAUAUUUUAAUUAUAUUUAAUAUUAAUUAUUAUUUUAAAAUUAUCAUUCUAGAUGAAUCUCAUCAUAUUCAUAUCUUAAAGACUAAAUAAAUUCUUUAAAAAAAAUUAAAAAAUAAUUCCUUACAACGGUAUAAUGGUACAACUUGUUUUUAAAUUGUAAUGAUUAUUAUUAUAGUUAACUGAUAAUAAUAAAUAAAUAAAUUUUAAUAUCUUUUCUAAUUUUAAAGUAUAUUUAAUUAUUAAAAUGUUAGAGAAGAAUAAAUCCACAAUAUUAAUAUUAAAACUUUACAAACAAUUAACAUUUUAGAAGAAUAAUCUAAAAAUAAUGAAACACAAUGAAGAAAAAAAACCAUUUGUACGAAAAAAAAAAGAAAAAAAAAAGAGUUAGAGAAAAAACAGAGUCCGAAACAGGUGGAAGGGGAAAAAAAAAGAAACAAAAAUCCCGAGAAAAAUGAGAGAAAAAUUGUGAAUUUUUUUAAAUAAAAAUAACAAAUAUAUUUGGAAACAAUCGUGUCCAAAAUGUUUACGGAAAAUAAAUAUAGAAAGAGAUAUAAUAAUUUUUUUUUUAAAAAAAACCAAAAACUUUACCGAUUUGAGAAGCGAUACAAGCUUAAGAAACGGAAGGAAUCGCCAUCAAAAGAUCGCCGAGGAAGCUCCGACGCGUACUACUACGGCCCGAUCCGGCGAAGAGAUCGGCGAUCGGAGAUCGGAGAGAGGAGAGGGGGGGAAUAAUUUUUCUUUUUUUUAAAAUUUUCUUUUUCGAAAAUCUCCAAAAUUCAAAUGAAAUGAAACGCUCGAAAAAAUGAGAGCAAAAUUUUAACCCUCUCGACACUGGGUUGGGGUUUUUUUUCCUGCUAUUCUCACUCCCCCCCUCGGUGGUACAAAUGAAUUUCGGAUGAAUUGCACUUUUAGCCCCUGAGCUUUUCAAGUUUCUAACUUUUGUCCCUAAAGUUUUUAAUUUGGGCCUCCAACCAACCCGAGUUAGUUUCUUUAUAGUCAUUUAUUAUAUGAAAAAACUUCAAAUACUAUUCCUGUGAUUUCACACUUUCUCACUUUAGUGCCCUAUGAUUUAAAGUGUAUCAAUUUAAUGCCAUGUGAUUUUUUUUUAUCCUUUUAUUAUUGAUUUUACUAAUUUUUUUCGUUAAAUUAGUGACAAAGUUACAACUAAAAGGUACUAAAGUGAAUAUUCGAUAAAUCUAGAUAGAGUAUCUGAAGUUUAUUGUAUAUAAUUUAACGAAAUAUUAACAAAAAAACUGACGAAAAGAUGAAAAUAAAAUCACGGGACACUAACUUGAUACACUUUAAAUCAUACGGUACUAAAAUGAGAAAGUGUGAAACCACAUGAGUUGUAUUUGAAGUUUAACCUUUAUAUAUUUGUGCUCCACAAAUUUAUCAUAUUAUUUUUUUAUCUUAUAUUUUUAAUUCAAUAGUAGUUAAUUUUUUAUUUUUUAAAUAAAACUUUAAUAUGCAAAAUAUAGAAAGUGAUAACAAAUCGUGUGUAAAGUUUAUGUAAGAUAUAUUUAUUUGAGAAUAAAAAAUAAAAAUAACUGUAGUAUAAUUACAAUUAUAUAUACAACCAAACAACCGCUAAAAUAUGGGAUUAAGUCAACAUAAAUGUAAAGUUUAUUAGCGUACAAAUGAUAUAAAUUUUUUUACUUCUGCAGUAGUAAAUUAGAAUAAAAAAUAUUAAGAUUUAAAAAUAUGAACAAUUUUAAAAAUUUUUAAGUACUGCAGUGUAAAAACCAAAAAGUCAGGGACUAGUAAUGCGGUGAAAAAAAAUCCGGGCCCGCGUUGGAAGUUGGAACUCGGUGGUGACGGGCUGAGCCGGUGGAGGGGGCGGCGGGUUACAGCGUGGGGGGGGUUAGGUGACCGGAUGGGGCCGGUGGGAGGUGCCGGGCGCGUGUCCUUCGGAGGUUGAAUCCGCAUUCGGUGUCCGCGAAUCCAGUACAGUCACGGACUCCAGGAGAGAGUUAAAUCCGGUUUAUUGGGCGGUAAUCCGACAUCAAACAAAUCCGACAUAUAGAGGGGAGAAAAUAAAAAAAAAAAUCAAAUAACAUGCAUGUAGUUUUAUUUUUAUCUUUUUUAUUACCAAUUUUAUUAAUUUUUUCGUUAAAUCAGUAAUGAAGUUAAAACUAAAAAAUAUUAAAAUAAAUAUUCGAUAAAUUUAGGUAUGGUAUCUAAAGUUUUUUUAUAUAAUUUAAUAAAAUAUUAACGAAAAAGCUGACGAAAAUAUAAAAAUAAAAUCACUUGAUACUAACUUGAUAUAUUUUAAACCGCAAAAUAUUAAAAUGAAAAAAUACGAAAACAGAAGGGUAGUGUUUGAAGUUUUUCCACUACUAUAUAAAUCAUGAUCUUUGUAUUUUGAUUGGAUAUUAUUGCUGAUUUUGGAAAAGGCAACACAUUAUUAUAGGAGAAUACACUACAGUCGAAUUUGACUAGUAUAAUAAUUUGUUAUCAACUUUUUAUAAUAAUAAAUAUAUUAUUAAAGUGUAGGAGAAUAAUUAUAUAAUAUUUCAAUUUUAGAUGAAUAAAAAAAGCAAUGAUUUCAAAUAAUUGAUCCCUUGGUAUUUGGUAUUCGACAAUAAAUAGCGUAUUUCAAAAAGUAUAAUUUUUUAUAGUUUUGUAAUUUUUAUUUUAUAUAAAAAUCUUUAGUUCAAAAGGAUUUUAAACCAAAAUCUUUUUAAAUUAUACAGUUGAAAAUAUGGUACUUUAUUUUUGAAUAAUGUGCACCUUGCAAUUAAUAUUACACUUUUAAUAAAAAUAUAGCGUUUUCUAUCUUGUUUAACAAGUCGUUAUAAAAUAUCACAAUUGAAAUAGAAGCAACGCACAAAUAUAACACUACAGUUUACAUACAAAAAAAUAUAUUGAAAAUAAGAUUUUUUGAAAAUAAAUUUAUGGUUAUAGUAGUAUUCAUUAUCUGCUACUUCAUUAUUGUAAAAUAAAUUUAUAGUUAUUAUAGUAUUUAUUAUCUGCUACUUUAUUAUUGUACUUUUUAAUUAAAUAGGUGUCCACAUAGUAAAGUUUUCGAGACUUAUUAAAAGUAAAGCAUGUUACAUUUUUUGUAGCAUAAUUAUUUAUGCUUUGCUCGCAUCUUUUAAUUUAUGUCAAAUAAAAAUUCAAAAACUGUUUAAUAAUAAAUAAUAUUUUUGUAUGAUUUGAAGUUUAUAGAUAUUGUAGAAAUAAUGUAUUUAAGUGAAAGAAUAGUGGAGAAUAAGAAGGGACAUGCUUAUUUCAAAUGAAUACACUGCCCAAACUAUGACACAAGUAAAAAAUCAAUAUGAAGGUUAGAUUGAAGUAGAUUUAAGUGCCAGUGAAUUAGAGUUUAAAUAAAAAUUAAUUUUCUUUAUGUACUUGUUGGUGUAGAUGUGGAACUAAAUUUCUCGGUGAGUGAAUGAUGUAAAAACUGGAGAUGAAAGAAAUAGGUUAAUAUAUGAUUAUUAUUAUUAUUUUUCUUAAUUAACUUCGGCUUGGAGUGAGUCGAAGUCAGUUAUAUUAUUUCGAAUAACUUGAGUUUCAACUGAAAAUAAAACUGCCGUUAACUGAAUAAUGAAAAUGUAUGCUUAUGAUUAGAAACUAUUUUAUUCAAUCUCUAAUUGCGGUAAAGUAAACAUACAUUAAGGUCCUGUUUGGUUGCAUGAUAAAAUGGUAUUCCCAUUUUAUCCUGUUUAUUCUACCAAACACUCUGUAAAUUUGUGGGUUUAGUUUAUGUUGGUCUUAACGGGUUAUUCAAGGAUAACCCGUUAAGAUCAAUCCCUCCUCACCAGCAGAAUAGGCGAGCUUCGCCGGGUUAUCCCAGGGGCAUGGUUGGAAAAUACAUCUCCUCCUUCGUUGAUGCGCCAUACCUACUUUUCCUCCUGGCUCAUUACUCCUUCGCCGCUACCCUGCCUUCUCGUGUGAGACGCCUUCUUCCUCUUCUUUGCUUCGCGUUUUUUUUUUUGCUCAGAGUAUUCGCGUUAAAAACGGAUUUUCCGAAUUAUAUUCCGAAAAAUUCGGAUUGAGUGGCAGUGGAAAGACGAAAUUUUUCAAAAAAAAAAAAAAGAUUGGGCGGCUGCAGAAAGAUAAAAUUUUAUAUGAUGCGUGACUACCGCUCCGCAGAUCCGUGUACCUCGUCAUGAGCAGCCGAGCAACCUUGCUGUUUGAUUUUGAAGAAAAAAUGAAGGCAGAGCUACAGAAAAAGAAGAAAAAGAGAAAAGGCGAGGAGGACGAAAAUCACGACGUAUGGAAACGGUGCGGUUGGAAAAUGGCGGGGUCCACGAGGCUGAGUGCAGCCUCGUGGACUAUAUGGAGGACCUCUCACUCCCACUUUGUGUUUGUGUUUGUGUUUGUAUAUAUAUAUGUAUAGAACUAGGCUAUUACACUAUGAAUAGCACCAAGUCAUUGGUACUGCCAAGUUUUUGGCCAUUGGAUUAAGAGAUGUGCGGUUAGGAUGAUGUGGGUCCCCUAGAGUUGAGUGGGUGAUUGGUUGAAUAGCAUAAUCUAACGGAUGAAAAUGAUUAAAAGGGUAGAUCUAACGGUGGAAAACUUGGUAGCACCAAGUGUUUCGUACUAUUAAUAGCAUAGUAGCCUAGUUCUUUCUAGCACCAAGUCAUUGAUGCUACCAAGUUUUUGGCCAUUGGAUUAAGAGAUGUGUGGUUAGGAUGAUGUGGGCCCUUUAGGUUUGAGUGGGUGGUUGGUUGAAUAGUAUGAUCUAACGGGUGAAAAUGAUCAAAAGGAUAGAUCUAACGGCGGAAAACUUGAUAGCACCAAGUUCUUCGUGCUAUUAAUAGCAUAGUAACCGGACUCUCUCUUUCUAUAUAUAUAAUUUUAUUUUUAUAUUUAUAAGAAUUAUAAUUAUUUAUGUUAAUAGUAUAAAUCUAAAAAAUAAUUUAAUUUAACAGAUGAAUUUUUGUUCCGAAUUUUUAAAUAAUAAACAUAAAAUUCUUGUUUAAAUUGCGUAUAUGAAUUAUUGACGAAUCCAAUUUUUAAACCGUAUUUUGUAACGAAUUUAAAAAUUAAAAUACAAAUUUUAUUCGUAUUUUAUCCAUACCGAAUUUUUACCAUAUCCGAAUUAACUACUUAUGUUCUUGCUUGCUUGCGAUUCAUAUGUAUAUUAUAAAUUAUACUAAGCAUUGUGUUAUGUUAUAAUGUUUAGUUUUAUGUAAUUGUAAAAUUUAUAGUAGAUUUAAGCACUAUGGUAUAAUUAAGUAGUGAAUUAAUUUUCUCAAGUUUGGUAGAUUAAUUAUCUACUAUGCAAAUAUUGUCACAACCUGAAUUAAAUCCAAUCUAAAGUAAAAUUGUGUGUGUAAUGCACCUUUAUUGUAAUUAGCCUUGCUAAAAGGAUCGCCCUGCUUAUAUAUGGAAGGAUGUAAAGGGCAAAGUUGGUAUUUUAAAAAAUAUACUUAUCACUUUUUCUUCUUAUUCUUGAUUAUUCCAUCAAAUUAACCAAACACACUUUCAGCUAUUCUAAAAAAUAACACUUUAAUUAACCAAACACUUUUUUUCUUUUAUUCCUGACUAUCCCACAAUAACACCAUAACACUGGCAUUAAAUAUUUUAUCCCCUAAUUCGAUAUUCGUGAACCAAACGUAGCCUAAGAAUUCAUUGGAACUCGUCUACCAUGUGUCUCGUAAAUUCCUCACUUUUCGUGUAAUAUUAAUUUAUUAGUUAAGGGACCCACGCGAUGCUGCGAGUAGUUAUUUUAAAAUCUAAUUUUGAAAAUUAGUUAUAAAAAUUAAUUUCAUAAUAAUUAUAAAAUAUUACGGACAAAUUAUGACAUAAUUUUAAAUAAAUGCAGCUAUCUUUCCUAAUAUAGAAAAUAUAAGGAAAGAUAUUUCAACAAUAAGAUAUUUUGAAAUAGUUCUUCAACUUUAUUAAAUAUUUUCUCAUCUUGUUCUCUUCUGUUUGAUUUGAUAUUACUAAUUUUGUAAGGUUAUCUAAAAUAUUUCUAAUAUUUUCAAUGGUACAAAUGAAAUUAUCACAUACUAAUUAUUCCAAACAUGACCGUAUGUCUAAGGAACGGAGAAAUAAUAAAUUGUGCAAUAAGUAUAUCAAAAAAUUUUAAUAGGCAUGGUAGUCUCCCAUUAGUUAGUAAAAUAAGUUUUAGUAGGUAUCGUAGUCCCCCAGUAAUUAGUGAAUGAGAAGAGAAAUUAUUGCUUUUGAUUCUCGCAAUUAACUUUCGUCAAAUAUAAAAUUAAGCAUCAAUCUUUUUUUUUUUUAAUUUUUUACUGUACAAUUUAUAUGUGAAUGCUCAAUAUUAUAAAAUUAACAUUUAUAUCUAAUACCAAUAGCCUAAAUUAUUUAACAUUUAUUUAUAUAUUUUACAUUUUAUAAAAAUAAAUAGUAAAUUAUAUAAUAAAUUAUUAUAUAAUAAUAUAUCUAUAUAAAAAUAAAAUACUAUAAUAAAUAAAUAAAUAAAUAUUUAUAAAAUAAAAUUAUAUAUAUAUAUAUUAUAAUAAAUAAAUAUAUAUUUAUAAAUAAAAUUAUAUAUAUAUUAUAAUAAAUAAAUAUAUAUUUAUAAAAUAAAAUUAUAUAUAUAUAGGGUUAAUUACACCAAUGGUCCAUAACAUUUACACUGUUUUUUAAUUUGGUCCCCAAUCUUUUUUUUUUUUUGUAAUCAAGUCCCUAAUCUUUUGAUUUCAUUUCAAUUAAGUCCCAGCCGUUAAAUAGCUGUUAAAAUUGACGAAAAUUGCCACGUCAGCACCACGUCAGGGCCAAGGAAGCACCAUGUCAGCGCCACAGUUGCGCUGUGUUAGCGGAUUGCAAAAAAUAAGAUUGUGAGAAUUUAGGUCCCUAAAUGUGCAAAGCUUAGAGACCUAAAUUGGUGAGAAGGUUGGGGACUACCGUUGUAAUUAACCAUAUAUAUAUAUAGAGAGAGAGAGAGAGAGUGGGCUGGUAUGCUAUGGAAGCACGGAGCCCUCCGUGCUUCCAAGUUAUUUUUGAUGUUCGGACUUUCGAAUCGACUAUCGGCUCCGUUAGAGUUGAUCUAGAGUAUUUGAAGUACCUAGAAAAUAAAUUUUGUGAUUUUUCGAUAUCAUUUGCCUAGUGAUCGAAGGGGUUCAAAAUUAAUAAUUUUAAUGGUCGUGAUGAGCCGGUUGCAAGUUUAAUGGUGUAGAAAUAUCCAAAUCAUAUGAAAUUUUGAUAGAAAAUUCUUUAUACCAUAUAAAACAAGAUCAAUAAUUUUGAUCUAAAAUUUUAAUGUCAUAUCAUCAUAUUUCGUAAGAUUUUUAUUUUCAGCCGUUAAUUUUGAGCCACUUCGAUCACUAGGCAAAUGAUAUCGAAAAAUCGCAAAAUUUAUUUUCUAGAUACUUCAAAUACUUUAGAUCAAGUCUACGGAGCGAUCGUUGAAUUCGAAAGUCGAACAUCGCAAACAAAGUGGAAAAAAAAAAAAAAAAAAAAAACCGGAGCCCUCCGUGCUUUCCAUAAGCAUCUAGCUGCACUCUUCUCUCUCUCUAAUAUAUAUCUAGACGACCUCCUCUCAUGUUGGUCCAGUUAGGUCGACAGUGGCCUCGUGGACCCUGUGAAAACCAACCAAUGAGCCGCAAUUUUUUUCGGCAUCUAACGCAGACCUCGGCGCAUUGACUAGCGGCGUACCGCCUCCCACGCCCGCGCCGCACUGUGCCUAGACGGUACGCCCUCCUACGGCCCGCCAUGCCCGCGCUCGCCCCCGGCGCCGUGCGCCGCUCUCGGCGCCAGCGCUGUGAGGCCCGCCGCCACCCCGCCCCCGCCCCGCCUUUGCCCCCUCUUCAGCCCUCGGCUGCAUGUCGCCGUCAGCGCCGGAGCCCUCCCCCGUUGCCCGCAUCCACGCCGGCGCCUCCGCCCUCGGCUUGCUCCCGCGCCAUCGCCCACGCCUUCGCCUUCCGUUGCCACGUGUGCAGUAUUGAGGAAUAAUAUAUCUUUAUAGAUGGCUUGAGUACUACUACCGGUACACCUAAAAAGACUUGUACAUUUUGUAAAUCUUUUUAGUAAAUACUAAAAAUUUAAUACAUUUUUGUAACCCUAGAAUGAAAAAAUGUAAGAUCUAUACUCACAUUUUAAGUGUUAUGGGUUGAUAAUUAAGAAUGAUAUUUAUUUCUAUAUCUACAUCUGUAUAUUAUUUCUUCUAAAUUGCCACAUCACAAUAUUUUCUUCAUUUAUUGAGUAUGGGCUCCACCUCGAACCGGUUCAAGUUCUUUACAUAUUUUUUUCUUUUUUGGCUUGAACCAAAUCAAAAUUUUCUUUUUUUUUUUUUUUUAAACCGAACCGAUUAUUGUUGAGUGUGGGUUUCUCCUAAGUGGCUCAAGUCUUCCACAUGUUUCCUUUUUUUUUUGCUUGAACUGAAUUCGGUUUUUCUUUUUUUUUAUUUGAAUUGAAUCGGGUCAAUCUGUUGCAUUGAGCCAAACUGGCCCAACUAUUCCCAAUGUUUUUAUUUUUGAACCGGAUUUUUUUUUUUUUCUUUCUUUGCUUGAACCAAACUGAUCACUGUCGAGUGUGGACUCUACCCGAAACUGGUUCAAGUUUUUCUUUUUUUUUUUGCUUGAACUGAACCAGAUUUUUCUUUUUUGUUUGAAUAGAAUCGAGUCACAUCUCUCCAGUAGGCGUGAUUGUUUCUCUUCCUUUUCCUUCUACUGUUAUCUUCUUUCAUCGAUAAGAUGAAUCCCAUCCUUCAUCGUUGUUUUUUUUCAUUGCCGUUUUCUCUUUCUUUGUCACUGAUUUUUUUUAUAAUUAUCUACCCGUCGUAUCGUACGAAUUACAACACUAGUUUAAUACAUAAAAUUGGGUUAUUUGAAUGAGUUGCACAUCCUAUAUAUGAUGAUAUUCUAUUUCAAUUCAAUAAUAAAUAUAAUUCAGGAAAAUGAUAUGUUAGUUUGUGGAUAAAACAUUUAAUAAAUAUAAUAAGCUAAAAUUAAAUAUUAUAAUUAAUAUUUAUGCAAACUUUAAGCACGGUAACGGAAACGGCGGUUAAAUUCCCCCCCGCGACCGGCUAUAGCCCGUCGCCGGGAACUACUCAAGCGUGAACUUAACAAACGACGGGGUGGUAAUAUCAAGUAUCCCUUUUAUCCCGCUUUAUGCGGAUGCUUUUAUGGGAAUUAAAUAAGUGCGUAUCCUUUUCCGAUUCUCGAAAUUUCCGAUGGUAAGAGCGGGUGAAAUUACCAAAAUAACCCCGCGUAAAUGCGAGGGUUUAAAGAGAGAGGUGAAGGGUAGUUUCGUCAUAAAAAAGUUGGUACAAGCACGAGAGCGACGAAGACCUCGGACCAAUUGCGGUCCACUCACACUACUUUGGUUGUCGCCGCGGUAAGAUGUUCCGCGGGAGUAGAAUAAGAUUCGGUGUAUCCAACGGUCAAAGCGAUCUUCACCGUUGAUUUUGUGUCGUGCGGUUUGAUUCGAGGGAGGUGUGCCAGGCACGAUACCGCAUGGUUUGGGUCGUCUUUUCCCUCGAUGCGAUGGAUCCAAUCGCGUGGCGCCACGUGGGAUCCGCACUUGUGGCGGAGUUACCAAAAAUAAAAAAAAAAACGCUUUUUUGGGUUUACCAAAAAAAGAGUAUUGCAAUUUUUGCCGCGGAUGGAAAUGAAUUCGGGUUGGUGGAUACCCGGCCCGUAUCCGACCCGAAUGACCGAUAAGCAAAAGCUAAAAAUAAUAUUAAUAAUAAAAAAAAGAAUUUUGUACUGUUUCCAUCCACUAAGAAAUAAUUAAAUAAAGCGAGAGGCAAAAAACAAUUGCUUUUACCCGACCCGUCCCGAAUGGAGCUUGCAAGUAAGGCAAAAAAAAAGAAUAAAUUUUAAUUUGCUCCAAAUUUAUCUUGAUCCGCUGAGAAUUUGUUCUGUAUUGCGCGCAGGCCAUUUGAUUGCAUGUAAUUAUAAAUAUAACCUACUUAAAAAUAUAUACAGUUAAACAUUUAAUAAUUAAAUUAUAUAAUAUUUUAUUGGCUGAAUUAUUUAAUUGCUCUCCUAAAAAGUUGUUAUUUCAUAAAUACUCUUUUACAUUGUAAAAUAUCAUUAGUGCCCCUAUUAAAUAUUAAAGUGUUUAGAACAUAGGCUUUGGGUUUGGAGUUUAGAGGAGCAUUUGUGAUAGAUUUAAAUAUUUAGAGAAGUAUGAAUGAUAGAUUUAUAUGUUUGGAGGGAUAUAAUUGAUAUUUUAGAUUUUGAAGCUCAUGUAUGAUAUUUUAUUUAAUCAAUUUGUAAUAGAAAUUUUAAUAGCUAUCAAUAGUUUAUUUUGUUGUAUUUAGAGCAUGUUUGGUUAUCCAAGAGUGAUUGAAGUGAAAAAAAAGUCACUUUUAUACCGGCGACUUUUAGAAAAGUGAUUAUUGAGUUCGAUUAUUUGGAUGCCUAGGAAGUGAAAAAUAGAAAAAUAUAGUUUUAAGAUUUCGAUUGUUAAUGCAUUUGCAUAAAAUUGUUAAUGCAUUUGCAAUUUGCAUUAUAAUUCUUUGUUUUUAGAGUUAAAUCAUAUUCAAAUUAUUAAUGCAUUUGCAUUAUAAUUUCAAAGAUCUUGACUAGUUUAGUCAGGCACUCUAAAUUUAUAUUUGCAUAAAAAAAUAAAAAUGGAAAAAUUUCUUUAUUUAGCUUAAAAUUAAAUACCAAAGAAUAAAGUUGAAAGAAAAAAAAGAGAAAGAAUGAAUUUUCUUCUCCACAAAUGAAAAGAUAGUACAACAUACUACUCAACAAAACUUAUCCAAAAUUUCAAUGAAAAUUCUAGAACUAUUAAUGCAAUUAACUCAUUAAAAAAAAUAUUUUCAUAGAUGACAGAGAACUGCAUAUAUUUUAACUGGAACAGAAGCAGAAACAAAAUCUACCGUCGGUGCCUAAAGCAAUUGAUAGGUACCUCCAUUCUGAAUAUUGAAUUGUAAUUUGCGAUCAAAUCCUGCUCCAUAUGAAACGUCUGCGUAGUACGUGUGACAGUUAUAAAUUUAAAUAUCUUAUCAAAGAAAAAAAUAAUAAAUAAAAGAAAUAUAAAAAUCAAAUCAGAUGCUAAUCCUAAGUAAGCAUGUGGAAUUGAUGCUCCCGAAAUUGAACCCCGGAUGGGGACACGACAUAUAAAUAUUGUAUCGUGUUUGUGGCCACGGUGGUUCCUUCCUCCUCGCGCCGUCCACUUGGCGUUGUUCUUCGUCACCCACGUAACUUUUCCACCCCCAUCCAAAUCAAUCUUUCUCGCCAUCAUUACUUAGGGUAAUGUUGGUUUGUAAUUAUAAUAAAAAUAAAAAAUUAAAUUAAAUUAAAUUAUUUUGGAAUAAAAAUUAAGAUGAAGAAUUAUCUAAAAAUAUUUGAUUUAUUAUUGGAAUGAAUAUGAGAGAAGUUUUUUAUUAAGAGAGAGUAAAGUGGUGAAUGGAGAUGUUAGUUUGUAAUUAUAAUAAAAAUAAAAAAUUAAAUUAAAUUAAAUUAUUUUGGAAUAAAAAUUAAGAUGAAGAAUUAUCUAAAAAUAUUUGGUUUGUUAUUGGAAUGAAUAUGAGAGAGGUUUUUUAUUAAGAGAGAGUAAAGUGGUGAAUGGAGAGGAGGGGAGGUGUUCGUGAAAGAGGAUUUUGAGUAGUUUAUUCUGAAAUGGGCCAAUUCAGCAUUCAAAGCAUUGGACCAUAAAUGGAUUUGGUCAUUCUCAUUUCAGAGUGGAAUGAGAGUCAGAAUCCGAUUUUUUUUUAAAAAAAUAAUAGUUAUUGGAAUCAAUGAAUUCCAUUCUGAUUUUAUAAUCUAAAAUAUAUGAACCAAACAUGCCUUAAUAAUUUUAAAUAGGGAUUGCUCCUUUUUGUUAUUUUUGGUCUCAAUUUUUGGCAAUUAGAUACUUAACUACUACGUUAAUAGCACAAUUAAUCCCUGAAUUUUUUUCUUUUCUUUCCUUAAAUUCCUAACUAACUUGUUUCUCCUAUAGGCACGUUGUUGCAUUAAAGCCUAAUCUCAUCAUCAUUAAUACAGUCACCCUUGACCUUUAACUAUCUCGACCUGUCUCACACGCAUUAUACCGACAUUCUCGUUCUGGUCGAUAUUUUGACAUCGAAUUAGAUGUGCUACCAUGCUGCCUAUUUUUAACUCGGCGAAAAUAAUUUCAAUUUUUUGCAUUGUGACAAUAGGUUCAGAAAAUUAAUAAAUUAUGUUUGAUGAAUAUAAUAAGUUGAGUGAAACUGCGGUUUAUAAAAGACCUAACGGCAAGAGACUCAACAUUAGACCUAACGUUCAGGUGGGUAGAGUUAGAUCGAAGUCUUUGAGCACUGUGAUUGAGCCCUUAAGUGCGAUGGAUGCGUUAUUCGUAUGAGCACUUGCUUUUGGGAUAGUUGGUUAGCGCUCACGAUCCAUAAAUAGUAUCAGAGUCAGUGGCGCGGAUUCGAUUCCCACAUACUGUAUUAACGGUACAGGUGUUGGAGGAGGAAUUGUUGGCUGCCCCGUGACAAUAGGGAUUCUAAUAAAUUGAAUGGGACUACGGCUCACGAGAGAUCUAAUGGCAAGAGAUCGAACAAUAGACCUGACGUCCAUAUGGAUUGAGUCACAUCAAAGUCCGUGAGCGCUGUGGUUAAACCAUUAAGUGCGAUGGAUACGCCCUUUCUUUCUAUAAAUACAUGUUUUUGAAAAAAUUUAGUGCCGAAAGAGGUUUCUUGUGAUAUUCCAUCAAAAUUAACAGAAAAUUAGAUUGUUUGGACCCAAAAUAAAGGUCAAUGGUGUAAUUAAGACCUCCUCACCUAUGUGAAAUUAUCUGCACUCGAUAAGCUACUUGUAAUAUUUGAUGAUUUAUAUCUUAAAAUUAAUAUAUACUUUGUUUAUAUAAUUUAUAUAUCUAAACAUUUUAUAUAUAAAAAAUUAUCAAUAACUGUAUAUUUUGAAAAUAUAUUAUCUAAGCACAAUAACGAUAAUUUUUUAUAGAAUUUGUAUUCCCAAAUUCCAGCAAUAGUCUCUCCACAAGUGUAUAAUAAUUGUAAUACAUUGUUUCAAUUCAAUCAAAUAAUAUAAACACAAUUUAUUUCUUAUGUAGUAUAUUAGUUAAGUAGUGUUGAAUUGCAAUAGAUAUUUAUUAGUUUUUAUUUAAUUAAAUUAUAAAUUAAAAAAUUAAUUUAAAAUUAUUUUGCUAAAUAUCUGAAGAGUACAUCUUUGUGGAAAUGGGAAUAUCUGCCUAGACAGGGAUAGGUGAGAUUUCCCACUUGUUGGUGGGGAUUAGGGAUGUCAAUAGGUAUAGAUAUUCAAAAUUUUAUCCGAAUCCGAACCCGUAUAGAAUGAAUAUAUUCAAUGCUAAAUGGAUAUAGUAUCGAAUAUAAAUAUCAAAAACGAAAACCCGACAGAUUUGGAUGCAGGUAUGAAUUUUGACCGUAACCGAUCCAAACCUAAAUUAAUUUUACAUUGAUGUUAUAUUUGAAUUUGUAUUUUAAAAAUUUAGAUUUAAUGUAAUAUGUUUUGAAAUAUUGUAAAAAGAAAUAAUUAUGCCGGGCUCAGAUUUGCGGGUUCGGGUUCGGAUUUUGGAUUUUUGGUCAGAUUUGGGCUUGGAUAUGAAUUUUUUGUAUCCGUCGGAUUCGAGUUCGGAUCUGAUUUCCGAUUUGAUAAUUAGAUUCGGAUUCGAGUUUUUUGAAACCUGCUCCGAUGUGACCCAUUGACAUCCCUAGUGGGGGACAAAAAUUUGGUGGGCAUCGUCCCCAAACAAAAUUGUUUGGGGACGAUGCCAAUGGGCGCCGCGUGGCGUGUGGCGCCCAUCGCUACCGUCGGAAACGGCAAAGAAAAAAAAAAUUUAUGAGCUCCGUUUUUUAGAGAUAGAGAGAGAGAGAGAGAGAGAGAGAGGGGGAAGGGCGGUGGUGAUGGGCGCCUGUACACACGCGGCGCUCAUCGGCUUCGUCCCCAAACAACUUGUUUGGGGACGGAUGUCUACCAAAUUUUUGUCCCCUAGUGGGGAUGGAGUUGAAUCAGACGACCUAUUUAUUUUUAGAAGGGUAGAAAAGGAAAUUCCCCAUGUCCCCAUCCUGUCACACCGCGUUUAAUUUACGAUAGAUCAUAAAUAUCCAAAUUUAUAAUUUUUGAUAUAUAAGCAUUUUAGAUAUUAUGAAGCACAUCGAAAGAGUUUAAUUUUGACUUUAAGAACUGUACGAUAACGCUUUAUGAGUGCAGUAUAAAAGAUGUACUUAAACAUGCGGUGCAGAGAAUUAAUAGAUUGUUUUGAAAUGGCCUCCUCAGCUUAGGGCUGGCAAACGAGCGAGCCGGCUCGCGUUCGACUCGUGUUCGGCUCGAUAUUCGGCUCGCUCGAGCUCGAUUCGAAAUUAAAUGAGCCGAGCUUGAACAAAAUAAAAGGCUCGAAAUUCAUUUCAAGCCGAGCUUGAGUAUUACUCGGCUCGUUCGAAUUAGGCUAGAAAAGCUCGAAAAGCUCGAAAAUAUAUAUAUAGGCUGGGGCUACUAUACUCUUAUGAGUAUAGACCCCCUUGUACUCAUAAAUUUUUAACCGUUGAUUGAUGGGAUGUGUGGUUAGGAUGAUGGUGGUCCCCACUUAGAAUGAUAGUGGUCCCCUAGGGUUGAGUGGGUAGUUGGUUAAAUAAUAUGAUCUAACGGAUGAAAAUGAUUAAUGGAAUAAAUCUAAGGGUCGAAAACUUAUGAGUAUAAAGGAGCCAAUACUCAUAAAAGUAUAGCAGCCGGACUCAUAUAUAUAUAUAUAUAUAUAUAUAAUAUUUAUAAAUAUAAUGUAUUUUAAUUAUAUAUAGGCUUUAAUUUAAUUUGGGCCAUUAUUGUUGGCCCAUAAAAUAAACCCAACAAGUACAAUCGUACAAUUGAGCCCAACUCUAAAUUUACAUAACACACUCUCUCUUUCAGACUUUCACUGUUGCACAUAACCCUAAAACAUGAUAACAUUCAAAUUUUCAAAUCCCUACUUUUUUUCCUCUCUCUCUCUCUCUCUCUCUCUCUCUCUCUCUCUCUCUGAGACCCUCAUCGAGUCAGGAAGUCACCCUAGCUCACAUUUUUUAUAAUUAUUUUGUAUUUUGAACUGUUGGACAUGUUGCAUCAAAUUGUAGGUAAUGUUCUAUAAAAAUUAAACUAUUGAUUAUAUAAUGUCGAGAAUUUCAAUCGGCUCGUUUAGAGCUCGAGCUCGGCUCGACUCGAAAUUAGGCUCGCUCGAGCUCGGCUCGAAUUAAUUUCAAGCCGAGCUUGAGCCUAGAUUUAGGCUCGAAAUUAAUUUCAAGCCGAGUUUGAGCUGACAUAAGCUCGCUCGAGCUCGGCUCGUUUCCACCCCUACCUCAGCUUGAGUUUUUUUUUUUAAAAAAUUAUUAUUACGGACCAUCUUUACUUUCAAAUUUUUUAAAAUUAAAUAAUUUUAGCAAAAAAAAAUGAAAAUUUUACCAAAUUCUUUUGUAAUGUUAUUGAAUUUAAUAGUUUUGUAAAUAAUGACUUUAUUAGCUAUUUUGGUUGUAAUAAACUUGUCUAUAAACGCUAAUAGCGUCAUUAAAUUUAGGGGCAAUUACUUUUAUAUCUCUGAAAAGUUUCCAACUUUCUGAUUUACCUCUUUUAGAAGGUUAAUAUUAAAAAUAUUUUUUUUACAUUCCAACCUAUUUUAAAUAUAUUCUUAGAGUUAAAAUCUGUUGAUGAACUCUGUUGUCUGUAUAAAAUUACUAUUUAGUCCUUUCAAAUAUACCUUUCCACUAUUACUAACUUUUCUUAUUUGCACUUAAGUUAGAGGCACAAAAAGUAUUUUGACUUCUGGUCUUUUCAAAUAUACUCCUCUACCGUCACCAAUAUUUCUUAUUUGUCCUUAAGUUAAGGGCAAAAUUGGUAUUUUAAUUUUCUUUAACUGUGGUAGAUAUUUAACUUACGUUUAAGCCAAGUUAACUUAACGGGUGGUAACUGUAGGGAUAUUUUGGAAUAAUGGAAAAACAUAUGAUGGGUAUAUUGGAAAGAAAAAAAAAAGGAGUUAAUGAGAUAUUUCCGAAGUUUUGAGGGGCAUACAGGCAAUUAUCCCUUAAAUUUAAUAAAAUUUUCAACUAAACUAACUAAAAUAACUUAGUUCUAAAGAAUUGAUAGUUUAGGAGGUCUUAACAAAAAAGGAAAAGUUAAAAUAAAGGGGGGAUUCUAAAAUCGACUAUAGUUGAGGGUAUCCAUACAUUUUUACUUUUUUAUUUGUAAACUUGACCCUUCAACUUUAAAUUGAUUUGGAUUUUUUUUUCCCUAGUUUAAUUCCAUUUCAAUUUGAUCCAAAAAACCCUUGAUUGGUAAUAAAAAAUUAAGUAAUCCUAAAAUAAUUAGUAAGUCAACUAUUUUAGUAGUUAAGGUUUUUUUUAAAACAAAUUAAAAUUUUGAGUAGAAUUUAGUUAUUUGCAUUGAAUCAAACUUAAAUAAAUUUAAAAAAAAUAGUGAGUUUUUUUAGCAAGCCAAGCUUUUACCUUAUUAGGGAAAAAUUUGUGUGUGUUUUUUGGGCCAAUUAUGGAACAAAUUAUAAUUACAAAAUAGUUAGUAGACUUUUCAAAUUUUUUGGGAAAAAAGGACCCCCUUAAAGUAACUUGUCUUUGGCUAAAUUAUAAUUCAUCAUCUAAAAUUUUAUAAAACAUAAGGUUGUGAUCUAAAUAAUUAAUUUAUUGCAAUCAAUCACCUUCUCCUGAUAAGUGUUUGUGAGUUUUAAUGUGAAAAAGAAUGAUGUAACAUCACCUUAACUUUGACAUAUUUGUGAUAAACAUUUGAACUUUUAUCCAAAUUACACAAAUACUAUCUGAGUUUUACUCAAAUUACAUAACGUCCUCCAAUUUUUACAAUAUUUAAACUUAGGCACAAAUAUUUUCUUUGUCACGAAACAAUUGUGUGUCGAAAGCGACUAAAUGGCUUGAUGCGAAGUACAAGCCCGAUGAUUGAUUUUGGCGAAUUGAUUGUUCAGAUUAUAAAUUUAUGUUUUUCAGUACAUAUCAGAUGAAGAGUUAAGGUUAGGCCAAAGUUUAGAAUGAUCUGAAAUUUUCUUUUCUAAAAUCCAAAAUUUUUAUAACUUCGUUAUUUUUAAAACGUUCUUCUCAUUUGUAAUAGUCAUUUUAAAAUUUUUGAGUUUGGCAUCUAUACUUUUAGAUUGUUGCAAACAACUACUUAAAUUUGUAAAUUGUUUAGCCCAAUAAUCAAGGAGCGAUAAAGAAGAACACACCAAAAUGAUCAUAAUUAAUUUUCAAAAAUUAAAACUAAAGAUCAAAUUUCCUCCCAUAAGAUUGAAUUUUUAAAGUCAGGUUGAUAAAAAUUUAGACAGUUCGGAUGCAAUUAACAACUAUAAGGAGAGAAAUAAAGAUAUUAAUUGUUGGGAAAAUUUCCUAUGUGCCCCUCUAAAAGCAUGUAUUUACACGAAUACCCCUAUAAAAAUUGAAAUAUCUUAAAUGCCCUUCUAAAUAGAGAAAAUUUUCAAAAAUACCCUUCAAAACACAGUUUUGUUAAAAUCUACAGUAACAGCAACCAAAAUACCGAUUUUACCCUUUUCAUAAUUGCCUUUCUAAAUGUUCCAACUAUUACUAAUGAAGGGUUAAUUUCAUUCAUACCCCUCUAAACGUUCAAAAUAUUAUAAAUAUCCCUAUAAAUUUGAUCAUAUCACAAAUAUCAUUACAAAUACUAUCUUAUAAAUAUAUUCUCGCCGUUAAUUUCUAUCUCCCUACCAAACAUCUAUUUAAUUUAGAUAGGUUAUUAUGAAUCAGUGAAAAUGUUCAUUUUAUCCUGAAUUUUUUAAAAUUUUUUGAAAGAGCACUUUAAUGUGAUGAAAUGUACAACAAAUAAACUUUCAAAACUGUCCCUCACUAGUAAUUAGUUUAGAUAAUGAUACAAGUAUUCAAUUUAAAUACUAUUAAAAUAUUAAUAAAAGUCAAUUCACACUGUUAUUUAGUACAUUUGCACUUCUCUAACCUUGAUUAUAAAAUUUAUCAGAUAAUCUGAGUUUUUUUUAAAAAAAUUUGUAAACAAUGCUAAAUCGUUUUAUUGUAAUUUCAAAUCUAGUAAGUAAUUUUAUGCUUUAUAAUUAAUGAUAAAACUUUGUAAUUUUUCAGCUAUUUAUUAUUUUCUCUCUCCAUUUUAAAAAAAUUUAGAAAUAUUUAAUAAUAUUGAGUAAGAUAAAAAUAUUAUUCUUUUAGAAUAUAUAAUUCUUACAGAAAUGAAUGUGAAAAUAUAACUAAAUAACUUUUAAAUUUGUAAAACUUUUAAAUUUAUGGGGUAUUUACAAAAGUUAAAAUUAUUACUAAUAAUUGGAACAUUUAAAAGGGCAAAUAUGAAAAGGGUAAAAUUAGUAUUUUGAUUGUUGUUACUGUAGAUUUUAACGAAAAUGUGUUUUGAAGGGUAUUUUUGAAAGUUUUCUAUAUUUAGAGGGGUAUUUGGGAUAUUUCAAUUUUUAUAGGGGCAUCCAUGUAAAUACAUACUGUUAGAGGGGCACACAGGAAAUUGUCCCUUAAUUGUUUGGUGCGAAAAUAAGGAGAGAAAUAUUUUUAAGAGAAUAAAAGCCUUAUUCUCCUUAAACUCUAGUUUUUUUCUUAACGGGUUAUUCCGGAAUAACUCGUUAAGAGAGUGGAAUUAUUGAUCCAUUUUUUUAGUAGAACAACAAUUCCUUUUCUAAUACUUCUACUAAUUUAAUAAUAGAAUAUUAUUAAUUAAUUUAGUGGAUAUAAUUUAUUUACUAAUUAACUAGACAAAAUAAUUAAUCAUUUGAUUUAUUACUCUAAUAAAUAUUUAACUAACUUUUUGAGAAAUUAACUUAUUAGUCAUAAUUAAUUAGAUAAUUAAAAAUUAAUUAUUUAGUGUAUUUAUGCAAUAGCUAAUAUUUAUAUAGAUUAACUAGUUAAUAUUUUGACUAAUUUAAUUAUUUUCUUAACUAAUUAUCUAACAAUUAUAUUAUUAACUAAUUAAUUUAUUAAUUUAUUAAAUUACUUAGGGUUAAUUAAUUUAUUAAUUAAUAGCACUCAUUAAUUAAUUAAUUAAUUAAUUAAUAUUUAUUAAUUUAUUAAUUUAAAUUUAGAGUUAUCUAGCCAUAUUUUUUAUUAAUCAAUUAAUUUAUUAAAUAUAGUAGUAAUUAUUUAAUUAAUAUUUUGAUAUUAGUUAAUUAGAAAUAUAUUAUUAUUCUAAAAUUAUAAUUAUGCGUAUUCUCACUGCACCGGUCUAAUUUUUUAAACACUAUUUUUCUUAUUCCUUGAAAUAAUCUAAUUUUUUAUUCAAAUACAAAAUUGGUCUUAUUCCAGUUUAUCCCAAAAAUUGUAUCUAUAUCAGAAAUAAUUAACAACAAUUUAUUUUCCGAACAAAACGACACUCAGAUGCUUGGAUAAUGAUGGUGAUGUGUUUGGGUGCAUAAUUUAACUCCCAUCUCCAUCUCCUCUCUAUCUCAUCAUCUCCUUGAGGAUAAUGAGGUUGUUUUUGAUCUCCAUGUUUUUGACAUCAUACAUAGGAAAGAGGAGGGGAAAAAAAAAAAAAAAAAAAAAAAACAAAGUAGUGGUUGUGGGACUUUUAUAUGAUGCAUCCUCCAUGCUUUGGAUAGUGACUAUGGGAUUAAUUAAUAAAUAAUAAUAGGAGAGAUAAGCAAAAGAUAAUAACAAAAAAAUAAAAGUGACAUAUGUAACAUGUUUAAUGAGUUUAUAAUAAUAUUUAUGGGUGGUAUGGGCUGUGGAUGGUGAAAUACAUUGAAAAUGAUCGUAAAACUUUUUUUUUUAAAAAUGUUGUAGCUAUGAUUUCAUGUAAAUUUGCACUAAUAUAAUAUUUACAUAGAAAUAUCUCAAAACAUUGAAAAUGAUCCUAAAACCUUUUUUUUUUUUUUUUUAAAGAAGUUGUAGCUGUGAUUUUAUGUACAUUUGUAGUAAUAUAAUAUUGAAUUUCCAUAUACUAUAAUAUAUUAUUGGAUAAAUUACACUUUUGGUCCUCAAACUGUGAGAUUUGUAACAGUUUAGUCCUUAAACUUUAAUUUGUUAUAAUUUCUUGCUUGAACUGUAAGAAGCGUGACACUUUAGUUCUCGAACUUUAAUUGAUUGUAUUUUUUUUGCUCAAAUUAUAAGAUGUGUGAUAAUUUAGUUCUUAAACUUUUUGAAUUAUUACAACCAAGUAUCACAAUCUAAUUUUUUUGAAUAAGUAUUUAUGAAGUACUACCAUUGAAAUAAUACAGUAUUUUAAUUUUUAUUGCAUAAUCAAGUAGCUAGGAUGCAGCCACAAGUUAGAAAAUUCACUCAAAUUUCACAAUUAAAGCUCAUAGCUCAAGCCAAAACUUAUAAUUUAAAGUUUAAGAAGUAAAAUGUCAUGCGCCUUAUAGCUAGGGUCAGAAAUUACAAUAAAUUAAAGUUCGAGGAAUGAACUUCCAUGCACGUCAUACUUUGAUACUAAAAGUGUAAUUUACCCUCAUUAGAUCAAGGACUUCCCAACGACAGUCAUUGGGGAGCUCUCUACUAAAGGUUUAUCUGUUUAAAUUCCAAAUAACCUCAAAAGCAUAUAUAGUGGACAAACUAGGUUUUGAACAUGGUAUCCAAGAUAAAUAUCAAGUUUGAAAAACUAAACCAAUAACUUUUCUUUCGUUUCGAGAAUCGAAUUUGUUAGAUGCAUCUCGAAAUUUGGUUAUCAACUUUGAUUUUGAAACCCUGAUUAGUCGACAGUUUCAAGGUUUAACAAAUUUUGAGAGAAAAAUAUGUGAAAGAAAAAAAUAGAUGUCUACGAUGCGACAAAUCUCUUUCUUCUUUUUCAUAGUAAAGUUCUCUUCUCUUUCGCUCGUUGUUUGUUUUUUUGCAAAGAAUUUUCUACGUAAAUCUUUGUAUAUCAUUUUAUUUACUGUUUUGUGAUUUGUUUAUUUCAUGUCUAUUAUUUUUUUGUUUCUAUUUGUGCGCUCGUCGUAAUAUAAUGCUUGAGUCCAACACGACCACUGGAACCCUCGAGUCCCUCUAUUAGGACUCGAAGUCGCGCCUUCGCUGUUCACUCCCCCAUGCCUUAGCACUAGAAGUUCCAGUAUAUCCAGAAAAUGAGUUUAUUCAUAUUAUAAAAACUUACUCAUCAAUUAUAUUUCAGGUACAUUUAGAAAUAUUUUUGUAAAGAAUUUUCUAUUAUGGCAAAAAAAAUAAUAUUGGGCAGUGUCUUAUUGUACUAUAUAUAUAUAUAUAGAAAGAAUAAUUAAAGAUGAAUUAAUAUUAGAAAAAAAAACAAGGAUAUUUGGACCAAUGAAAAUGGAGGUAGUUGACACACUCUUUUGGUGCACUUAAUUAAUUUGCCUUGCCAUAUUAAAUUAUAAUUUUAAGGGACUUAACUUGGUGUGUAACAGUAAAUAAACCUUAAUAAGUUCUAAUUUUGUAGCAUCAAUUGAUCAUGCGUUUUGUUUAUUUUUUGAGAGAGAUAGAUAACAUACUAUCCGAUUCGUUUAUUUCAUUCAGAAAUAAAUUUAGCUAAAAAUAUAUAUGAAUCAACUAGGAUUCGAACUUUGUCGUUUGCCGUUUUGUUAAUCAACUAAGAUGGUGUAACAAUUUAAAAAUGUGUAGGACCCCUCAACUAUUGCUCAUUCUAAGAUUGAUCCUUCAACAUUUUUUUUAAUGAUUGACACCCCUCGGCCCUCGACGUUGAUCAAUUUAUUUUGAGUUAAAUUAUUUCAUCAAAUUUAAUUUUAGAUUUUGUUAAAUUUAACUGUUUUGAAUGUUUUUCUCAGUUUGGGGAACUACGAAGUAUAUUAUCUGUUAUUUUUAUAUAUAACUGAGGUGCUAAUUCAAAAAAUUAAAAAAUUAGUUUAAGCAAACUAGUUAAUUAAAAGAUUUAUUUAGAAAAGAAAAUCUGAAAGUCAAGAGAAUGUUUUUUAAAAAAAAAAAUUGAAAAAAUUUAAAGAAUAUUAAUCAAAUGAAAAAUACUUGAGGGGGUCUCCAUACACUUCUACCCAAUAUACUAGAAUAUAAGGAUAAAUUACACUUUUGGUCCUUGAGGGUGACACUUUGGCCCUCAAAUUUUAAUUUUCUAUAAAUUUUGGCGCAAACUUUUUAAAUUAUUUUAANAGAAAAGAAAAUCUGAAAGUCAAGAGAAUGUUUUUAAAAAAAAAAAAAAAAAAAAAAAAAAAAAAAAAAAAUCAACUAAAAUCUAGUUUAGAAACAAACAACAUAUGACCUACAAAUAUACUAGAAUAUAAGGAUAAAUUACACUUUUGGUCCUCGAGGGUGGCACUUUGGCCCUCAAAUUUUAAUUUUCUAUAAAUUUUGGCGCAAACUUUUUAAAUUAUUUUAACGAGAUUCUACUGCCCAACUCAAUUAAUUGGAUGCUGAUGUUUGCUAGUGUGAUAGUAAUGCGACAUUUUGGUGAUUGUCACGUUGUCGACCACAAUUUUGAGGACCAAAAUAUGUGAUUUAACAAUACUUGAAUGAAAAUGAGAGAUCAAUGUACAUGAAAGCUAAAGUUUUAGGUGCAGAGAUUCUAGCUUGCUUAUACAGCAGCUAAUUCAACUUCAGGAUUGUGGGAUGAUGAUGAAACUUUAACCUAAAAGUGCUUCUACAAGUAGAUUUUUUUUGUUUUUGUCAUCUUCUUCACCUAUGCUAGUUACACUAUACUAGCAAAUGCCUAAAGAAGAUGAUGAAAUAAGGGAUCAAGAGGAGGUGUAAUUUGUUGGAUCGUUGACACUAACUAUUAAUCUUAAAAGUUUGAACUGUUAUAAAUAUAUAACCGAUUCACUUAAAGAGGACAGACACAACGUUCAUGGUCUCGAUUGUAAUUCGGCCAAACCGGCCUCGCCCCACUUCGAACAUAACUCGGACCAACCUAGCCUCACGGCCAUUUCGAACAUGACUCGACCCAACCUGACCUUCCGUCACAAGGCAAGAUGCUAAGCCAUUUAAGCCAACAAUCUUCUCUCCAGUAUUUACACAAAUUCGCAAUAUAUGGGAAUUGAACCCAUGAUCUCUAGCUUUGAUACCACUUAUCGGAUCGUUGGCGCAAACUAUUAACUUCAAAAGCUUCAGCUGCUAGAAAUACACAACUAACUCAAUUAAAGCGUACAGACACAAUACCCAUAAAUCUGGAUUGUGGCUCGGCCAAACCGGCCUCACACCAUUACGAAUAUGACUUGGUCCAAUCCGGCCUCGCGCCAUUUCGAAUGUAACUCGGCUCAACCUGGCCGGCCUCUUGCUACAGAGUAGGAUGCUGGCUCAUUUGAGCCAGCAUAAAUUUUGGCUCAACUUCGGGCCAAAAUUGGUAUAUCUUUGAGAGCAAUUAAUAUGCCAGUACCUCUGAUCGUAGGUUCAGUCCAAGAAAAUUUCUGCAAAUUUAUCAGUCAAUUUUGUCCGCAAAAGGAGGAAUGAGGUGCAUUUCACGGAUUCACGGAUAAAUAGUUCCAUCUGGAAUAAAGAUUAAAAGCUUGCAAAAAUGUUAUGGAGGAGGACGACGACGACAGCGGCGACGACGCGACCCGCAAGUCCACCGCGAGCGCCCUUUUUUUUUGCCGAAUUAUUCGUGAAUCGUGAAUAAUUCACGAAUAAUUAUUUUUUUCCAAAAAAAUAUCCCUUAUUCGGCCGUUUAAUUCGUUUUCUAAAAAAUUCGCGAAUAAUUCACGAAUUAACUAACUAGGGUCUAAACUUACAAAAGUGUUGUAAUUAAUUCCCACAAUCUUAUUUAAUUAGAAAAGUGAUUCGAAGCAUCGACAGUUACAAUACUAAUACAUCACUUUUAUAUUAACGAUACAUCAAUAUUCACCCAACCCACCUUAUAGUUUGAGGACCAAAUGUGCAAUUUAUCCGCGACACUAUUAGAGCAAAUAGUGUUUAGAUCCGAUGUUUGAAGAGUGGAUAUGAUUAAUUAGGUUAAAGGAAUUAGCUUGUUGGGAUGUGAAAGGAGGUGGCUAUUCUGAAUCACAUGUGCAUGGUUUUACUUGAAAUAAAAACCAAGAAAUGUUGAUGUGACUCAACUAGAGCCAAAGCUACACAUAAAAUCGGUCCCAACUUCCAACACAAAAGUCAUCUUCUUCAGUUUAUUUGGGUCUUGGGAUGAAGUUAAAGCUCUCUUCAGACAAAAUUUCCAUAUGGAGGAAGGACAACUUUAUGAAUGAAAGGAAUGGCUUCUGGUCAAAUCCCCUGUUAUAAGAAUUAUGAUCUACAAGAUAUAGACCAUGCAAUAACAAUUGCCUAAAGAAAAAGAGCACUUUUUAUUUUCCAAAAUGCAUUAUACAGGGAAGUGGAACCAAUCAGCCAAUGUGGGUUAAUUUUCAGCAGAUUGAAAUGAUAAAACAGAAAGCCAGAGAAGCUCCAGUGUUUCAACAUGCUCAAUAGAAAAGCACUUUCGCAGAAAGUGUUUUUUUUUUUUUUUUGGUUUUCUGAGGGAAAGGUAGCAUAUUAUCUGAUUCAUUCUGUAAGGUCGAUGAACUUAGCAACUGAAGCGAAGCAAUAACGAGGCCUUAGACGAGAACAAAACAGUCGUGUCGAACAUUUGAAACUAGGAUUCUAAAAGGUUCUGUAAUUCGUUCACGUCCUGCGGGACUGACUUUUCACUGUGUUGGAAGAUGUUAGUUCCAGCUUCCCCUCGUCCUUUGGGUUUGCUUUCCGUCGUGCAUUAUCCUAACUAGUCCGGACUUGCAGUAUCCGCAGUAGGUGAAUAGGUGGUCGACAGUCUCCAGUUCUUCGUGGAGACAUAAUGCAGAAGAUUGUUCGCCCACCCUAUCCCUCUUCACCAGGUUAUCCAUUGUCAGAACUCUUUUCCUUAGGAUCAGCAAGAUUGUUCUCAGAAGUUCGAUAAGUAGUUCUCGAAAUGUUGCGCUCGUGAGUUCUCUAGCGAAAGUGCUUGCAUUGCAGAUAAGUAUAUGGAAGGGGAAGAAUAUACUUCUGAGAACUUGAAUUCAGACUCUUCCGAGCGAAAGCCGAGUUCUCGGAAGUUCAUUGUUUCGAAACUUUCAAUACUUCAGCUUUCAGAUUGCUCGAACCGAACAGAUGAAAUCUAGUUACAUCUUACAUCUGACCAAAUGCCCGAACGGAAAUGUACAUACGGUUCUGACCAAAAGACUGGGAAGUUUUCUGAAUGCCACAACAGCGGAGAAAUUUGCGUGAAAUGCAUGAGGGGAAGACUCACCAGAACCAUUUUCUAAGAUAUUAUGUAGCUACACAUUUUAUUGACUUCGACUACUCGAAGAACCGAUGCACAUCUGACAGAAAAAUCGUCAUUGCUCCAAGUCCAAAUCAAAACUUUAUGCGCAGUUUAAUGAUAGUCCGAUCCGGAAAGUUGUUUUACUUCAUGAUCUUGCUUCUCACCUUAACUGGAUGUCUCUAUCCAUUCCCAUAUAUGCUCAGCCACUGUUAAGGAGCAUUGAAUAUAGCAGGCCAUGAUAGCAUUCCACAACAUUAAAACCUCUGCUAGAGCUCCCAAAAUGUAUUCAAGUCCAGCAGAUUCAUCUCCGCAGUCCACGUACAUUUCGCCAUGUGCAGUUCACAACGCUGAGUCGAUAUUGAAUCAAUUUGCCGCAUCCACCCCGACGAGAGACCAUUACAUGCGAAUUAGGCGUGGUUCGAUUCUGUAACAUCUGUCGAAAAAGAUCACAAGCUUCAUAGGACAUUUUGUUCCAGAUAAGUCCCACGAUAAUCGGAGUGAUCCAUUUUCUGAAAAAUUGUCAUUGCUUCACAAAGUUCAAAUUUUCGGCGACUGCGCGACUGCAACACAGCGGGCGAGCAGCGUCACAUAAUCGGAAGCAAUGCGUUUCCUUCAGUGAUCAGCAUCGAAUCAACGACAUUGUGGGCAUAUUUGAAUUGAAGCUCCAAUAGAACCCAAUCAAGGAUGUUCCAACACGAGGUUGCGACUACGCAAACCUGCAUAUGAAACAAUAGCAAUGAAUCUCUUGCCCUAAUCUGCACCCUAACAACUCGCCAUAAGCCGAAAGGAGACACACCAGCGUCGCGGAAUUCACCACCAAUCCUUCCUCAUGUUUCAUUCUAUAAAACAACAAAACAUUAUCAUCAUAACUCCUAAUUCCCAACGCAACCCCGAAAACAUGGCAUUCCAAAACAACAAAUCUCUUUUAGACAUUUCAUCAAGCACCUUGCGGGCAUCAGAGACUACAUUUGAUGUGGAGGUCGACAGGAGUGAGGUGGGCCUAACUGUAAGAAGGAAAAUGGCUGAAGAUUUGAAAUUAUGCAGACACAACAUCUACCGGUCACGAUUAUAAUGCAGACACAAUCGGCUAUCGCCAAAUAACAGAGUGAUCAUUUUUUAGCAGACGCUAAUUAUGCAGACACAAUCGAUUAUCUCACAAAUUAUGCAGACACAACGUCUACCGAUCACAAUUAUAAUUUGACCCAAUCGGCUAUCGCCAAAUAACAGAGUGGUCAUUUUUUAGCGUUAAUUAUUGUAUAAAAAAAGGAAGUGUCUAAAAAGUAUCAAUCUUAAACAUUAAAAAGAAAAUAUUAUCCACAAAUUACUAUAUUAAAAUAUAUAAAUUGAUCAUUGUUAAGGCUUAAAUUUACAAUCUUCUUCAUCUCUGUAAUGAGACUCAAAACUCAAGACCUUCUAUUCUAACACCAUAUUAAACUAUACAAUAUCAGCUACUUUCCGAUAAUUAUGUAACAAGCCACUAAAAAACCACUACCAACUUAUUAAAGCUAACAAAUUACUCCACGAAGACUCUUGUCGAGCUAAAACAAUAUCACAAUUUUAACUUAGUAACGAACAUAAUAAUAGAAAAAUAGUAAUUACCAACUUACGCACCGUUUAUAAAACGAAAAUUUUAAUUUUAUAUGGUACCAGAGCAGCAAAAGCAUGAAGUACUUAAAUAACAUGCAAAACAUCGUUUUCUAACCGCGUAAAAUAUUAAUGCACCCAUCAAAAACUAAGGUAGAGUUCUUAUUUUCUCCAAGCAUUUUAAGAAAGGAACAAAGCCAAAAUCACCACAAGCCAAAGUUUAAACUAAAACAAAAAACCCCACAUAUUACAUUAAAAAAAAAAAAAGAGAGGUAAAAAAAACACUUGGUCCAAGCUCUCUUUUGACUACUCUUUGGUUUUGAGGUCUCCAUUGACGCAGGACUUAACCAAUCUCUUGAGACCUUUCCCAUGCCUCCUCUUCUCCCCACUCCUUGGCCUCUUCUCAAUAGUGUCUCCCUCCCUCUUCCCCAACACUAUCUCUUCCUCCAACUGCUAAUUACAAAACAAAUAAAAUUAAAUUAUGUUACAGGUCUCUCGAUCAUAGUGUUGAUUUUAUAUAUUACUUAGGUAGUUGCGAGUAUAUAAUUUUUGUCUAUAGAGUGCUCUUAAUAUCUAUAAUUUGAUAGAAUAAUAUAUUUUACUUACGAAAUAACUAUUAUUCUGAAAUAAAUGAUUUAAAAGCUCAAUACGUUUAUUUUCCAUUCAGGAUAAUUGAAUUAUAAUUAUUUUUUUUCAGAUACGACGCGUGCAUACUUCUACUAGAGUAAAUAAAAAGUAUACGGAUAUAAAGUACAAUGACAAAUAAAAAUCUUCCUACUUUAUUUAGUAUCACUACUAAAUAAAUAUCCAAAUAACCUACAUAUAAUUUUACUCUUGGAGGCCGUUUUGUUCAAAAUUUAUAAUAUUUUAAAAAUAUUGCAUAUUUUAUUUGUUACUAAGCCACUUAUUAGGUUGGAAAGUUAUUAGAAACUAGUAUAUUUUUAUUAAAAAACUAUUAAUAAUUCUUAUCAAAUAGAAAAGUAAUAAUACUUUUUAAUCUAUGACAAUCUAGCAUUCUUAUAUGUCAUCUAAGAUCUAAGAAUACAAAAUAAUUUCACUAAAUUUCACUUUGAGCUAAAUGGUAAUAAUUUAAAUAUUUUUAAUAAAAAAUAUAGAGGAUUCCUAUUUCACUUUUCCACUAAUAUAAUUCUAAUAAAAUAUGAAAAUAAGAGGAUCUUCUAGUCCAUAAUAACCUAAUAUUUCUACCGCCUAAGAUAUACAUACAAUAAUAAUUUCAUAAUUUCACUAACACCUUUUAUAGCUAAACAAGAUAAAUGAUAAUAAUUUAAAUAUUUUCAACAAAAAAUAUAUAAAUUUAUUCGAAAUAUUACAAACCGUGAACGAAAACUGGCCCUCGACGUUUAAAGCUCACCUUGAGAAUCCGGACCUCAAGGCGGUCGAUGCGGUCGAUGAGGUUGCCCUUCUCCCGCGCCUCCGCGACCACGUCGUCGAUGGGCCUGCACUGCCGCCGCUGCCGCGCGAGGCUCGCUGGCGACGAGCUCAGCGAUGAGGAGUUGCCGCCAUCUCCGCGGCCGCCGCCGUCGCUCGUCAUCGUUCCGCUCGACGNUAUAUUAUUUAUUUAUUUACUAAUUUAACUCCACAAAACCCUCCUCCUUCUCCGCCUCCUCCUCCAUGCGCGGCGACCCCGACCCCCCUCCGCCGCCGCCGCCGCCGCUGCGGCUUCCCCGCAUCUCCUCCAAGUAGCCCAGCAUUAUGUCCAACCGAUCCACCCGAGCCAAUAUGCUCGGUGGCUCACCCCCCACAGAAGCCAUUUUUAUCAGAGUGUAUAUGGUAGUGCAAAGUAAACUAUGUAUACCAAAGUGAUGGAUAUAUAUGGCGGGAGAGGAGGUGGAUAUACAUGAUAUGAUGCUGUGUUUAUAUAUGGCGGGAAAGAGAGGUGCGGAGGCGAAUUGGGUCUUCGACACGUGUCCACUGUCGGUUGACGUGGCUGCGUCGUUGUCGGACACCUGGCGCCGUGUUGUAGUAGUUACGUCACUCGUGACUUCAGUUGCCGCACGAAACCGAACUGAAUACCGGGGGGGUGAAAACGGAUCGGGUAUUCGGUAAUAUCUGAUUCAGAUAGAAAAUAUCCGGAUCCAGUCGGAUACGGAUACGAACACAAUUCUAGAGAAUUAAAAUUUUUUAAAUAUCAAAGAAAAAAAAUAUGAAUGCGAAUAUCUAUACGCUCAAUUUUAUCCGUCCGAUCUAUCUAAAUUCCUUUCCUUCGGAGUACAUCUCUGAUUAAUACAUGUUGUGAAAAAAUAUAAGAUAAUUUUUUAUAUUAUUCGUUUAUUUUAUAAUGAGUUAUAUAUGAAAAUUACAUGUAAAGAAAUAAAGUGAGGAAACAAGUAGAAAAAUAAAGUUAUAUUUUUGCGUUUCUAGUUUACUGUAUAUGUGUAUAUUAAUGUAUAUUAUUAUAUUUAUAUAAAUGAUAUGCGUAUCUGAUCUAUAUUUGGAUCCGAAAAAAAUAUCCGGCCAUAUUUGAAACCAUUUUUAGCAUGGUAAUACGAAUUUCGUAUCUUAUAUAUAUCAAUAUCCGUAUCUGAAUCCAUAUUCAGAGAAAAAAAUAUGGAUGCGGAUAUGAUUUCCUCAAACAUCUGACCAUAUCCGAUCUGUUUUCACCCCUACUGAAUACUACUUUAUUUGCACGAUUUUGAUUUAAACCCGAUCGAUUUAAUCUAAAAUUUUAAAAUUUAGCAUUUGAUUUGGGUAUCUAAUUUAAAAACAAAAGUGAUCGAAUUAACCGAUUAAAUGAAACAGCAUAUUCAUUUCCGCUGAACAUUAAAUUAUACAUUAUUUUAAAAAAUACUUUAAAAAAUGAAUAAAAUUUUCUGUUUAGUCAAACAAAAUUUUCUUAAAUUUUAACAUAAAUUAAAGUUUUUAAAUAUAAAUAAUUAAGUUUAUUAAACCAACAAAUUAAUAUCAAUUUUUGGCUAUAUUAUGUCUCGAAGAACUUCAAAAAAUCCAAGCCGAUCGACCAAACUAGCAGAGAGCCAAACAAAAAAAUUUCGGCUCGGAUUGAUUUCGAUUUGGUGUAAUAGUUUGAUCGGUUUGGUUCAAAAAAUUGUAAAAUUAAAAGAAUUUGAUUUAGUCCAGCAUUCCACUAAAAACUGAUACGAACCAAUUAAUCGAUGAUCUCCCUAAUUACUUCUUACCAAUCAAAUUUGUAUGGUAAAAAUGUAUCAAAUUUAUCUAAAUUAUGAAAUAUUUUGAGUCGACUAUUCAAUGUUUGAAAUUUUUUAUUUUACUAUCCAACCUUUCAAAUUGUUUGAUUUGCGUCGAUGGCAUUUUGACUUUAAAAUUUAAGCCAAUUGAUUAUUUUAAUGAAUCUAUAGUUAUGAGAAUUGUAUGAAUAUACUAAACUAAAUCUGUAAUGAUAAAUAACUCAUUCACAUUAUUAUAAAGUUAAAGCUGUUGAACGAUUCAAAUCAAACUAAUUGAAAGAUUGAAUGGUAAAGUCAAAUUUUUAAAAGGUUAGAUAGUCAAUUUCAAAUGGUGCAUAGUUCAGAAAAAUUAUAUGUGAUUUUAUUUAUAACCAAAUAUAUAUAAUUGAAUAUGCAAAUCUAAAAAUGUUAUAUAAUUUAUUUAUAAAUAUAUAAAAUCAAUUAAGGCUCCAUUUGAAAUCGCCCAUAGAUUAUAGUAUGUACAGUAUGAAAGUACUUGUUCAUUUGCAUACUUAGCGUAUUAGUUAAGACUCCAUUUGGAGUUACCAGUAAAUUAUGUACGGUAAAAAAAAGUAUGAUGCGAAAAUAACUUGUUAUUUUAUUUUCGUAAGGAAUAUCAUAUUUAGCACAUCGUAAUAAAUCAUCUAAGUUAUAUUUUUAGAGUCUCACUGAGAAAUGAAGAACUAUAUAUAAAUACACUUGCACCUUAAUUUUGUUUUGCAAACUAAGGGUGAGCACUAAAACCUAAUUUGGAAUUGCAUUAUAAAAAAUGGCAGCUUUUACGUUUUAGAUUUUACCAAUAUAAAAUUAAAAGCUAGCUUUGUACAUGACCCUAUGAUUUUUUGCUUUUUGACAGUUUCGAUGAUUAUUUUAUAGCAUUAGAUGAAGAAAGACCUUUAUUAAGUUGUAUCAAAGCAAUAAGAUCACUGUACAAUGAGGCUUACACUCAGCCCCACACUAAAUUAGAUUUAGCACACUCACAUGAGCUUGAAAACAAACCUGAGAAUGUGACAUUCGAUCUUCGAUCUCUGGUGAUAAUUUCAAAAUUGUAAAGCUCAGGAAUACUGAUUACUGGAGGGAAAAAACACAGCUUACAUAGUUUGCAAUCCAUAACUGCCCAGCCUACAGCGAAACCACCGCAUGCAACAAAAGCAUGUUCUUAAAUCACAGCUAAUCUUAGCAAACAUAGAAACUCGCCUGCUGGUUAUAUCAGAUAUACAAAAAAGUAGACUCUUUUCGCUCGAAUUGUUAACAGUAGCUAACAGAAAGCACCGGCGGAUGAUGAGAACUCAGCCUCUGUGUCUUUCAGAAGGCCGCAAGCGAAGUUACGGAUCAUUCAGCCUUGCCGUUUUCCUGGGAGGCGACGUAGUUGCGGAUGACCUCCAUGGCCAACUGGUGAGCAGUCUUGUUCUCGAGCCGUGCGAGCUCGGCCAUGGCUUCGUAAGUUUGCCGAUCCGUGAAGAGCUUGAGAUUGAAUCGCGAUCCUGAUUCCAAAGGACCCUCCCACUUGUCCACCAUCUCUUGCAGCUUAUCAAAGCCCUGAAUCAAGCAGGGAAAGGAGAAGGAAAACCGAUAAGUAUUAGUAUUAGCACUCAAUCGCCGUGAUGUAAAGAAAUAUUCAAACUAAUCCUACCAUAAUGAUGCGCAUUUUGAAAUUUAAACAGAACGCUUAUAACUAAAUCUUUAAUCUUUUGUAAAUAUGGUUUAGAUUUUGCAGGAACAGAACUGGAACCUGCAAGUCAAUCUCUACAAAAAAUUGUGUUAUGUUUUUGAACAUAAAUCUUGUAUGUGACAUUCGACAACAUAAUUUGAUCUUCUCUUUUGCAAAGAAUGUUAUCUUACAGGUUUUUCACUUAAUAGGCCGCCGGCCUGUACAUGAUGCAUUACUUCUAUCGUUACUAGUUUAGAGAAGUCACAAAACAGCAGAUUCGAUAAACCUCAAAGUGAAUAUUAGAAUAUUUAGUACUAACCAUACGAGUAGUGAAGCUGCCAAAUGAUUCACCCUGCUGGCGUUUUCUUUUCCAAUGGUAGAAUAGAGGUUCCAGAACCUUCUCUAGGUCUUGCACUUUCACCUUAUUCAUAAAGCACUCGGCAAGUGUAGUUUGGUUUGGCGCUCCCCCGAGCCAGAUCUAUAAGAAACAGGAACAGAACAAGAUAUUUCACAAGGCCAGAAAUCUUUAGGGCAAUAUAGUCGGGGCAUAAGGGGUUGGUGUGAGCCUGAUAAGAAUAAGAGUCUACUGCUGCUACCGACAGGAGACGGAUGCUCAUGUAGCUUGCUGAAAAUUAAUUUAUAAAUAACAUUAUUUCACGUGUGACGUACAAGGCAGAAAUUUAAAAAGAAAUCCUCCGAACUUGCAUCUCACAUUUGUCUUGCUGCAACUUUUAUUUGCCUUAAGAGUAGGAAAAUAUAAAACAAAUAAGGGAAUGUUUGGAGUUUAGUGUUGUCCGAGCUAAGAUUUAAGUGAAGCAAAAUGUGAGGCCUGUAAAAGGUCGAGUAGAGACAUUUGCCUGUCACAACCCCCAGCUCAUAAUAUAAUGAGAGAGAGCAGAGGCCAGUCUCAGCCUGACAGUCAUCCAUCCUCGGUUCAGAGUGCAGGGACUACAACAAAUUACAGAUAUUAAACUAUCUAACUGACAAUUAGAAAACUGCAUUGACAUAGAUCUGAGCGACAAGAAUCCUUUUGAUCAUGAAGAGUAAGCAAUGUAUUUUAUUUGACGGACAGAGAAGUCGACGAGACAAAUAGUACCUAGCUCAGAUCCCUGAGAUGGUUGCGAUAAUUCCACGUCCACACAAAAGAACCUAUAUCCCAACAUGUUCAUCUAUAUUGCCAAAUACAGAAAUGGACUAACAUCCAACAAAAGAUAAGGUGUUCUAGCUAAAAUUCCCCUUUUAAAUACCUGGUAACUAUUGGGACCAUCCCCGACCAUUCCUAGUUCUGCCAUGUAUGGUCUCGCACAGCCAUUAGGGCAGCCUGUCACCCUUAUCACAACCGAUUCGUUGUAUUUGAGACCCACCUGAGGAAUAAUCGCAUUCAUACACAUAAAUUUGUCACAUUCACCAUUGAAGAAUUGUACAACUUCAGAAUAGAGAACAGAAUAAUUAAGCCGAUUACCUUAUCAAAAACAGCUCGAACUCUCUUCAGAAUAUCGGGUAUCCCUCUUUCUGCUUCUGUUAUCGCUAGUGGGCACAGUGGUAAAGCAGGACAAGCCAUAGCAGUGAUAUUAAGAGGAUCAACGUACCUAGGUUGCUGCAAGUAUGCAAAGGCAUCGAAUCAGAUACAACGCUAUUAUACUCCAUAUUCUAAGAUGUAUUUCUAAGACUACCAAAAGAUCAAAAAAAAUAUUCAUGCACAUCAGAUGAAAGUAAAAGCUCCAAACACAAUGUGCUUAGAUCUGUGAAAUUAAACUUCACUAGUAAACAAAGACAUAAAUGAAAUUUCUGAAGUUGUACGCAGUUUUACCAGCAAACCGGCCUGAGCAAGAGCUGUAGUUAUGGGCCGCUUCCAUGAGCGGCGGAUGUCACACAAGAUUAGAUUCUGAUUAGGGGUAAUGCACACAUUCAGAUUAUACUUUUCAAUAAUCUCUCUUAAAGUUUUCUUCAUUUUCCCUCCAAUCCGACCAUUAUCAACGUGCAACCCACAGAACAUUAAACCAUCACCCUGUAAUAGCAUAAAUAAAUAAAUAAGUAAAUAAAUGAAUAGAUAAAUAAAUAAAUAAAUAAGCUGGCUCUCCAAAGACAUUCAGAUAUGGUGUACCUAUGACAACAUCUUGAUAUUUGCUAAUAAUUAUCGAGCUACAGAAAGCAAUAGGACAAUAAUACAAAAAGGCAAUUUAGUCCAAUUAAACCUGCUCAUGCCAUCCGAGGUAACUCUUAAAUUCCCACUCCGGUAACUCUCUGAAGGGCUCAAACUUCUUUCCAUAAUACUGCUCCACAACUGUGCGGAAUUUUUCAAUCCCCCAUUGACUGAUCAAGUACUUCAUUCGGCUAUACUUUCGGUCAUCCCUCCUUCCAUUUUCUCUUUGUGUAACAACAAUUGCCUUUAUUGCAUACAGUAUAUCUUCUUUUGGAACAUAACCCAGAGGUUCACCCAAACGCGGAAAAGUAGUCUCCACCCUAUGCGUCCUUCCCAUGCCACCUCCGACCUACAAUUGCACAAUUUUUAAAAGAAGCUAAUUGAUUAAAAUAGAUGAGUAAUGAGAACAAAGGGCUUUUACAUAUAUAUAUAUCUCUGCAAAGCCAUCUGUUGCGAAGCAUACCACUGUAAAAUCUGAAUAUUCCUGUAUACCCCUUGGAAAUGCAGUUUCUUACAAAAAUAUCCUUAUUUCACACUGGGGAGUCAUCCAACUCAUUCAAAAAGUUCUAGUAAAGAGGGGAAUUCUGUACGUACAUGGGCAUAAAUGUAAGAAACAGCUGUAAAGGGCACAUACGAAAAUUCAUAUAUUACAAUGAUGUGCAUGUAAAUAGACAUUUUGCAGGGGUAUAAAUGCAACCAUCUGUGAAAAAGAUAAAGGGGCAUUCAGUAAAGUAUCUUACAUAGAUGUUGAAGCCUUGAGGUUCUCCAUCAGCAUCAGAAACUACAACAACACCAAUAUCAUUUGUCAGGAUGUCCACUGAGUUGUCAGUAGGAACAGUCACUGCAAUCUUGAACUUGCGAGGCAAAAAUUGGGUUCCAUAAAUGGGCUCAGGAGAAUCUGGAAAGUUCGUGCCAUGAGAAUUAUCAUUCCGAGCUUUGGUUACUUCUGGAGGCUCCGCUGACAUAAUUUUCUCCCCAUCUACCCACAGAUCAUAAUAUGCACCAGACUGUGGGGUCAGAAGUGACGCGAUAUUUUCAGCAGUCUCCUGAGCAAAAACAUACUCCUUUUUGGUGUACGGUGCAGCAGGAGCCAGCACGUUCCUAUUAAGGUCUCCGCAUGCACCAAGAGUCGAGCCCAUGUUUCUGAUGAUAGUACUCAUCACAGUCUUGAGGUUUUUCUUUAGGAUGCCAUGAAGUUGAAAUGUCUGUCUAGUGGUCAAACGAAGGGUUCCGAUACCAAACUCAUCUGCAAGAUCAUCCAUAACUAGGUAGAGCCUAUUCGGGACUUUCCCACAUGGGUUCUUUGUUCGGAGCAUGAAUUGGUAAGAUUUUACUCCACGUUCAUCUCUGUUAGUCUGUUGAUAACUCCCAUGGAACUUGAUAAGUUGCGUGGCAGCCUCAUUUAUGUUCGCAGCCUCAGUGAGCAACUCCUCAUUUAAAGGAAACCUAAGAUAGUUGCUUUGCUCCUUAAAUAUUUCAACCUUGCUACGUUUGGUUUCUGAAGUGUCUGGCUUUACAGGCUGCAAUUAUAAGCAGGAUAAUAAGUUACCUACUCUACAAUCAGAACAACUUUAAUUCACAAGCAUACAACAAAUUCGUGUACUAUCUUACAACUGGAACCGAAACAAAAUUAUAAUGUAGUAAGCAGGCCGCACAACUUAGAAAUGAACUUUAAAGAUGGAAAUAAAACGUAAGUCAUAGAGGUUUUUUUUCUUCUUCUUCCUUAGAAAAUAUGGAGAUUGUGAAGGGUUACGUCAAAACGCAGCACACAAUAUUAAUAAAUCUCUCAUAGCAUCAGUUUUGAGCUCUUCAACAACAACAACUACAGUCGAAUAGAACAAUUUGUGGCACAAAUAGAAAAAUUUCCUUUCCCAGAGGGAAUGUGGAACUAUCAUUGUAUGCAACUUUAGCGAAAGAAAUUUAAUGAAAAGCUAGCAAUGGAACUGCACAUUGUAGGUUCCUAGGCACAUAAUACAAUCAUAGUGCGAUGUCUUAUAUGUGUGGUCUUUGCUAAAAAAUCAAUAGUUGUUUAGGUUAUUAUAAAUGUGUCUAACUGAAAAUUCUAAAAAAGUUCCUUCUUAGAUUGAUUACUUUACAGUUAAGACCUUUGUAUAUAGGACUUCAUAUUAU